rnacentral:lncRNA from 1 species
GCUCACCCAUAAAACCCAUUUCUUUUUUUCUCUCUCCUCACAUUUCACGCGAUGUGCAGUCUUCUUCGGCUCUCUCAGACAUAACACAAUCAGCUCUCCUCUCUCGCUCACUUCAGCUCUCCUCUCUCGCUAAACCCAUCUCCCGAUCUCUCUUUCCCUCGCUAUCUCGCUCUCCCGCUCUCCCUAUCUCGCUCCAAAUCUUGUCGCGACGGCUUGCCCUGAUUUUUGCCCCAAAUCCAUCAAAAGGUAACAAUUUUGUUGGGACCUUCACUCAGUGAUUUUGACAGAAAAAGGUACUCUUUACUUGUUGCUUUUAAAUCCCUAUUAACUACAUAUUAGUUAAUUAUUAUUUUACUUGGACUGUUAUUGGGCUGUCAAUUGUUAAGGGGGGUUUGUGCAUGUUAUAUGGAGUAAUAAGGAAGGAUAUUUUUUUGGUUAGAAUCAUGUAUAAACAUGUAUGAUCCCCGCUUUUAAAACUGUUGCACAUAAGGUGUUUGAAAAAUUGCCUCUUAGAGGUUGUCAAGCAUAAAUAGGUGAAUUUGAUUAAGUUUGGGAUCAAAGAAGCCUUUAUGCAUGUUAUGUGAAGUAAUUUAAUUUGUUUGGGUUAAACCAAAUUGGGUUUUAAACCUGUUUUGGGACUGAUGAUCAUAAGCCUUUACACUUGUUAUGUGAAGUAAUUUAAGUUGUUUGGGUUAAACCAAAUUGGGUUUAGAACCUGUUUUGGGACUGAUUAAUAUGGUUAGUUAGUAGUGGUCUAGACUAUUGAUGACUUCAAAUUGUGCAUGAUCUUUGGUGUGUUUCUUUUGAUUUUUAACUUAUAAAUCGUAGGUUUGAAGCAUCUUUUUGACAUUAUAUGGAUCAGUAAUUGGAGUGCCAUAUUUUGGUGCCACUUUUGUCUCAUUUUUAUGCGCCAAGUUUUAACAUAUUAAUCUCUUGCAAAAGAGAAAGUACCAUUCCUUCCAUAAGAGUUUCUAUUUCGAACUUGAAAUUUUCUUCCCUUUUUAAUUAUAAAAUUAUUGUUCUGUCAUUUUUAAUUGCUCUGUCAUUGUUUUGUCAUUUUUAGAUUCAUAAACACAUGCUUAUCAAAAAGUUAUGAGACAGAAACUUACAGAACAUAUUAUUAGUAACUUUAGUUUUUGUUUACUAUCUCUAUAUACGUGUUUUUGUAUACACUUAAGAUUGCUAACUUUUUGAGUAUUUCUAUUGAGUGUGGACCUAAUCAUUCUAUUUAAUUUAUUAUGGGCAGAAUUUUUACAAAUGGAAGGCAUGAACCAUGAAAUAGAUAGUUGUGGGGAUAAUGCAGAAAUGAAUUUAGACUGCAUUUACAAUUUCGAAAUUGAAAGGGAAAUGGAGAGGGAUGACUUGAGUGAAGAGGGGUUGGAUGUGAACAAUGUUAAAACUGUUAUCUACUAUCCUCAAGUAGCCGAUGAGUUUACGCCUAAGCUAGGUCAAGAAUUUCAAACAUUAGAUGACGUUUACACUUUUUACAAUACAUAUGCAAUGCAUGCUGGUUUUAGUGUGCGAAAGCAUACUGAGAAAAAAAAAGAUGGAAGCGGUGAGAUUUGUAGGAAGCAGUAUGUGUGUUAUAAGCAAAGAAAGGGCAAACUAUUAGCCGAUGUGGAUGCAAAAAGAAAACGUGGAUCUAUCAAAGAAGGUUGUAGUGCAAGAAUUGUAGUGGUUAAAAGAAGUGACUUGUACGUAGUUACAAUAGCUGAGGAGGGCCAUUGUCACCCAUUAUCAACCCCACAUAAGAGGCAUCUUUUACGAUCGCACCGUAAUGUGUCAGCUGCUCAAAAAUGUUUGACUCAACAACUUGGCAUGGUGAAUAUACCACAAUGCCAACAAUACAACUUUCUUGCAUUGCAGGCGAGAGAGAUUGAAAAUAUUGGUUGCACGCAACGCGAUUUGUAUAACUUUGAAAGAGACAAUCGUAAUGAGUUGAAGGGACAAGAUGUCGAUAUGUUGAAUGAGUACUUGAAGUUAGAACAACAAAAGAAUCCUUCAUUCACUUUUACAAUUGACACAAACGAUGAAAAAAGGAUUACUCGUUGUUUUUGGGCCGAUGCAACUUCUAGACGGGCUUAUAGAUUUUUUGGCGAUGUUGUCAUUUUUGAUACCGCGUAAAACACUAAUCGUUACGGAAUGAUAUUUGCACCACUAAUGGGGGUUAAUAACCACGGUCAAACUAUUGUAUUUGGUUGUGCUUUCUUAAGUGAUGAGACCAUAGAUACCUUUGUUUGGCUUUUCAAGUGUUUUUUGGAAGCAAUACCAGGUGAUGCACCUAAGAUGAUUAUCACUGAUCAGGAUCCGGCUAUGACAAAUGUCAUUUCACAGAUGCUUCCUAAGACAUUUCAUAGGUAUUGUAGUUGGCACAUUUUGACCAAAUUUUCAGAGAAGAUUGACUCUGUAAAAUACAAUGCUUAUUAUAAAGAGUUUUCAGAUUGCAUUUGGAAUUCCGAGACUGUGGAAAAGUUUGACUCCACUUGGGUGGAGCUCGUGGAGAAAAGUGGGUUAACUACUAAUAAAUGGCUUCAAUCAAUGUAUGACAUCCGUUGUAGAUGGGUACCCGCACAUGUGAAUCAUGUUUUCUCAGCCGGCAUGUCAAGUAGCCAACGAGCUGAGAGUUGUCAUGCAUUUUUCAAAAUAUUUUUUUCUAAAGGAAAUUCAUUAGUGGAGUUGAUGAUUCAAUUUGGCCAGGGCCUUCAACAUCAACGACAUGUAGAGUUGGAAUCAGAUAACAAAGAUUUGAUUGAGAAACCGAAAAUGAAAAUUUUCAAUCACUUCUUAAGUCAAAUGGUUGACAUUUAUACAUACUCUAUGUAUUAUAAAUUUGAAGAUGAGUUGUGUGAGAGCUCCACUUAUAAGUUUGAACUUAUGAAGGAGGAUGUCAACUACAAUGUAUAUAAGAUUUGUCGAAAGAAUGUCAACAAGUGUAAUGUAAGAGAAAUUCAUUAUGACAAAUCUUGGGAUUAUGCAACAUGCACUUGCAAAAAGUUUGAGAGUUUGGGAAUACUAUGUCGGCAUGUACUAGCUUACUUGAAUAAGUAUCAUGAUCAUGACAAUUUGCCUGCAAAAUAUAUUUUAAAGAGGUGGACAAAGACAACAAAAUCAAGUGAUGUAAUUGAUGAUAAUGGUGUGGCGAUAAAAGAUGACAAGUCAUACUUACUCUUGCGGAGUCAAUUGAUUCAACAUUCUUUAGAUUUGAUUGAUAGUGCUCUCACAAAUGAAGAAGCCACAAAUGUAUUAAAAGAAUGUUUAGAUAAUGGAUAUGAAAAGAUAAGGCAAAUUAUUGGGAAGAAUGAUUCCGAAAGAAACAAGGAAAUGGAAGGAGGUGGAAUUAGUGUAUCAAAGUCAGUUAACAGGGUUUCUACUUAUGAACAUAGUUACAUUGAGUCGAACCACAUGCGAGCAAAAGGGUGUGGCAAAAGGCUGAAGGGUGGCAAAGAAAGGGCUUUGGGGAAAGCAAAAAGUGCCAAGAGUAGACGUUGUCAUGCGUGUAACAAAGUUGGUGUGACACACGAUAAAAGAAAUUGUCCGAAGCUUAAUAAUCUGUAAGCAAGUUUACUUAUUUUGACUUUGCUAUAUGUUUAAAUUUUACUUUGGUAUUUGUUUAAAUGUAGAACGGGAGCAUCAAAUGAUGAUGCUACUCAGGAUCCAAGUGUAGAUAAUGAUGAUAGUGAUUCAAACCCAAAUGCAACUUAGAUUGCUAUAACAACAGAGAAAUCUAAAUUCAGAGGUAAUGAUAAUACUCAUUUGUGAGCACAUUUAUUUCAUUUUACAUUUGCUUUUUUUUUUUUUUUUUUUUAAAUCUUAAUUGUAGAUUCCAAGUAGCUGAAUAUGUUUUUCUUGUUGUUCAUUUCAGUGUAGUAUUUUGGGAUGGCUAGUUUAACUGUUGCCCAUGUCAUGGGCUGCUGUCUUGUUGGAGCUAUUUGUCACUGCCAGUAGCUAUGCAGUUUCUCUAUAUAUCAGAUGCUAUCAUGUCCAUCUGUGGUUACUUGUAAUGUAGAUGGUUUAGCUCCAGAUCUGGUCCUUUUUGUUGGUGAGGCGCCAAUUUUAUUAUUUUUAUGAACAUUGUAUCAAGAUGCUUGUCUUUGAAUUAUUCGAAUGCAGCUGCAUCGCUAGUUACAUCUGUAAAUUAGAUAUGGUUCAGUCUUCAUGGCGAUGACCAGAGAAGGAAUGUAGGUUUAGUAUGAGAUUUUACUGAUGGAUGUUUGUCAGUUUUCUUUAGAAUCAUCAACUAUGUAACAAAGGAGGUUGGAUUUUCCUCUAUAUGUACUGUGUAAAUGACUUUAUGUUUUUACGAAAUAUACUUGCACUUAAAAAUAUUUGCUAUAAAACUAGCUGAUGAUGUAUGCUAUUAAUUUUAUUGGGAGUUCAUGUACCAUGAGCCUGAGUCUCGAAUACAAUAAUAUUGUAUUGGUUUCUUUCAAGUAUGUUGUAUGAAACAAUUAAUCCUAUGUCGCGGUUCGCAUACUCCCUGUAGAACAAUGUAUCCAGUGUAAAGGUCCCUUGCCAUGGCAUCCAUCCGGCCGGCUGGAUAAAGUCUCCCAACAUUGAUUCCAUAAUCACAGUCAUGGAGUUUCACCUCGGGAUUUGGAAUCUGGCAGGGAAAAGUUUCACCUCAGGGACAAUGCGGCAAUUCUGAAUAAAUAAUAGUAAUAAUUAAUUCCAAAUAAUUUGGACACAGCACUUUGGACACAAUACACUGGUGAGGCAAUACUAAAUAGCAUUCAUCAACAUGAUCACAAGGUCAACCCUAGACAGGCAGGCAUGACCAUCAUAUAAAUGGACUUGGUUGUCACCUGCAGAGGCAAAAGGAAUAUUAAAGUAUAUUAGAAACCACAAUGAAUAAAUAUUUAUAAACGUCACAAAUUUCCCCAUGAUUCUCAGUAAAACCCACUUUUAAAACAGAAAAUAAGUAUGCCAAAUUUGAUGAUAUGUUGAAAGAAUGCUUGAAUAACCAAAACAGUGUGUACAUGUAUAUAACAAGGACACUGGUAGACCUGGCAAACGGGCGGGAAUGAUCCGGGUUUUGAUGGGCUGAUAAUGUGAGACCCGUGGCCCGGGUUGGGUUGGGCAGGGCUGGCCCGCGGACUUCUUUCUUUAUUUUAUUUUAUUUUUUGCGAAAAAAAUUAAAUUAAAAUAAAAUAAAAUAUCUAACCUAAUUUUAAAAUUGGAAUUGAAGCUGUUUAAAUAGCAAACUCAAUGACCAACCAAAUCCAUUUAAAUUUAAUAAUUAUACGAUCAACCAAAUCAAAUCAAUUUGAUUACAUGAUCUUCAAUGUGUUAGGUAGUAUUCAUUAUAUACUUAACCUAGCUAUUAAUCUCAGACGGUUGUGAUUUUGGUGGGCCUGACUCAUCACUACAGUUGAUCCAUCAAUGGAGCAUUGCAGAUUCUCUGUUGAAAUCGCUACUUAACCACAUUGUUUUGCUUACUUACCGUAAGAUACUAAGAUUGUAAAAGAAAACUCUUGUUAGAGGUAGAUUCCUUCAGAGCAUUUUUGCUGCUCUUUUGACGCCAAUGUUUUUAUGGUCAGUACAGAUGCCAACAUUUUUGCUUAAGUAGCAAUUUAUGUCAUCAUUGGUAUAUCUUCAUUUUGUUGUGCAACUUAUGAAUAGAAUGUCAACAAUUUUGCUUAAGUAGCAAUUUGGUAUGUCAUUUAUUCAUCUUUAAUUAAUACAUUGAAAAGUAUUUGCCAUUGACCUGCUAGUGCUAUGAGAUCAAUGAUAGAAAAUUGAUGCCAUGUCUGAUAGAUUGAAUACUUGAAAUUUAUAAACAAAUUUUUUGAAAAAUGGUAAUACUCAUAAAUAUUAUAAAUUAAGUACGACUUAAAUUUUACUUUUUAAAGAAUAGUAAAAUUUGAAUAAAAGUAAAUAAAUAAUAUAUUGAAGAUUACGUUAAAAACAAAUUUAACUUAGUUGAUUUUAACUCAUAUUGGGGUGGGCCUUCACGACGAGAUUUGGGGCGAGAUAGGGAGGGCGGGAGAUGGGUCUAGCGAGAGAGGAGAGCUGAUUGUGUAAUGUCUGAGAGAGAGCUGAAGGAGACUGCACAUCGCGUGAAAUGUGAGGAGAGAGAAAAAAAGAAAUGGGUUUUAUAGGUGAGCUGGGGUCAGCUUUUUUGGGGUGAGACUAAGAUCCUUAUUAUAUAUAUAUAUAUAUAUACUUAUAUAUAUGAACUGUUGUCGAACUCUGUUCGAUGAGCCUGGAUUUUACAUCCGGUGCGUUUAUUGCUAUAUAUAUAUAUAUUGUCCCACCUGGAGUUUACUUCGUGGUGGUUGAUCGCUUUUAUAACUUUUUUUACGUUUCGUCCUGCCUGGAGUUUACUUCGUGGCAGUUGAUUGCUUUGUACAACUUUAUUUACAUUUUGUCCCGCCUAGAGUUUCCUCCAUNNNNNNNNNNNNNNNNNNNNNNNNNNNNNNNNNNNNNNNNNNNNNNNNNNNNNNNNNNNNNNNNNNNNNNNNNNNNNNNNNNNNNNNNNNNNNNNNNNNNAAGUCAGCACCCACCUUAUACAGGUAUGCAUUUAGUUAUAUAUAGCAGCUUAGUUUAUCCAUUGGAGAAGUCAGCACCCACCUUAUACAGGUAUGCAUUUAGUUAUAUAUAGCAGCUUAGUUUAUCCAUUGGAGAAGUCAGCACCCACCUUAUACAGGUAUGCAUUUAGUUAUAUAUAGCAGCUUAGUUUAUCCAUUGGAGAAGUCAGCACCCACCUUAUACAGGUAUGCAUUUAGUUAUAUAUAGCAGCUUAGUUUAUCCAUUGGAGAAGUCAGCACCCACCUUAUACAGGUAUGCAUUUAGUUUCUCUGUUUUGUGUAAUUGUGUCCCAUUUCUUUUCACAUCAUAUUCUUGUUCAAUUUAUUCUUUUUCACCCAUUUACAUUUCAAAUCUAUCAACUCUUUCCUUCACACAACAUAUUUAAUUACCAUAACUGGUAGAUGGGGCAUGAAACCUAAAUUUUGAACCCUAAUUUGAAAGAAGGUCAUUAAGUUCAUAAGAAUGCCUAAUUGAACCCCAUAACAACUCUCUUUUAUGUAAAAGAGGGUAUAAAAAUCACUAUUCAGCUAAAACUUCUUGGUAAUAAACCAAUGGUUCCAGCUGCUUGACAUUUUACUGAGUGAAAAUUUGAAGUUUAGUUUUUUACAGUUUUCAGUUUACCGAACGUAACAGAAUUGGGGACAUGAGAUUGAUAUCAUGUGUUUGGAAAUUUAGAACUUACAACUGGAAAGUUCAUGCUGUGUGAUUGCAUAUAUUCAUUGUGUUUGAAUAUCUGGUCGUAAUUAAGCAUCUAAAUCACAAGGUGGAUCCCAUUGUGUUUGAAUAUAUUCAUUGUGUCAUAUAUUCAGUUUAAAGGGUUUACUUGGAAACUUUGUAGGUGGGUCCAAGAUCUGGCCGUAAUUAAGCAUCUAAAUCACAAGGUUACUAGAUCUAAUCUUAAUUAUUUUGAGACUACAACAUUUGAAAAAUUCUAAGUUUAGGAUUUUAUGUUUGUUCUGAUUUAAUCAAUGUACAUGGCUUUGGGCUAGUUGUGUACAUUUGGAAUUUAUGUAUGGGUAGUUAUCACAUGUCCAUGAUUAAUGCGGUAGGUAUGAAAGUAAAGACAUGUCUCAUGAGUUCAAUUCAAAAUUGAAUUCCCCUUUUGACUAUAACAAGUUAACAACAGUUAACUGUUCCUUUCUUACUUUGAAUUGGUUAUAACUGCUACAUGCAUUCCACAAAACUGUGGGAAAAGAGGAGCUAAUAAAGACAAGAGACUCUUGUGGAAAACGAAAACAAAUGAUUUUCUGAUGACACAUUGCAUGGUUAUGUGAUUGUAUGAUGUUGUUUUGAACAUUGGUAAAACGAUGGAUUGAGACAUCUAACUUAUUAUGCAUAAUCUAGAUCAACAUGGCAUUUGAAUUGACAAGUCAAUGGCAAUUCAAUAAACAGAAGUUCCUCUCAAAACCAUGAAAUUAACGCAGUGGAAUGGUUAAGCCAUUUACGAACAAAGUAAGACAAUAAUCUAGGUGGAAUAUCUAACUGCAAUUCAGUAUCCUUUUCUUUCUCAAAAUUUGGAAGGUUUUCCUUGAUUCUAGUAUUAUUAAAAUAAUAGACCAUUCAUAGAUGUUCACAUCGAUUUGAAAAUAAUCCUCUUACAUCUGAUGUGUAGACAUCAAUUAUGGCUCGUACUGUUCCUGCAUUCUACAUUAUAAAACAAGCUAUACAGUAGUUUGAGAGUCCUGCAUAUAAAAAGUUAUAACAGGAGUAAAAUGUUUUUCAAAAGGAAAAAAGAACUUUCUCCAUCCCACUUUUUAUCAUUCCUCUAAUAUUCUCUCACCCCUGUUUUAAAACUUUUACUUGAAAAAUUAAUUUUUUUUCUUGAUGCGGUGCCACAGAGUUGUUUAAAUAUUUUAUCAUAUGUGGAUCCAAGAAGUUAAGUGAAGGAACAAUUGUAAAAUCCUCCUCAACUUCUCCUUUGUGUGGUAGUUAUAGGCAUAUUAAUUAAAACCCCCCACUGUACUUUUUCUUCUUUUUUUCUCUCCCAAAUUAAAGUUCCAUAUAUUUCCCCCUGAUGCUGUUUCUGGGACGAAUUUCUCUACCCUUGUUAUAGUUUUGCAUGUAUUAGCUCAAGGAGUUAAAAGGCAGAGCAGAUGGCAACAGCUUUUGAUUAUCCAAAUUCUCUCUUUAUUCUUAUGCUUGUCAUAACCAUACUAGCAUGCUCUUAUACAAGUUCCGUUGAAGCACAAACUUGGCCUCCGCAAGAUGAAGGUAGGUGUGUCUAGUAAAUAUUUCAUUUGAAAGUAUGACUUCAAUCCUUUUCGAUCCUUGAUGUCAUUUUAAGUUAAAGCAUACUUAACUUGGAUAGAUUAUGUGUCCAACUUGUGUCCAACUUCCUUGUGAAAUUAAUAUGAGUUUGAAAUAUGCAGUGAACGCACUUAAAGAAAUAGCUGAACAAUUGGGUAAAAAGGACUGGAAUUUCAGUCUAAAUCCUUGUGAUGGGAACUCAAACUGGAACACACCAAAAAUGAAAGAAAUGCCAGCGUAUAAUAAUGCUGUCCUCUGCAAUUGCUCCUACCCUGGUGCAGUAUGUCACAUCGAAACCAUGUAUGUUUUUUGUCAUUAUAUAUGUUUUCCUUGGUCAAAUUAUUUAUAUGAUGAUUGAUUAGAUCUAAAUAUUUCCCCAUUCAUGAUGAUGGUAGAAGAAGUAAUUCAACUGGAGUUGGUUACUAAUUAGCAACAAAAUAAGCAUUCUUUGCAUAAAUCAUAAUCAUUAUUUUUAAACAAACAAAAUACAAGUGAAGAUGAUUUCAAGAAGACCUCAAUGUUUAUGGAUUAUAUGUCCUUCUUAAUUUAUUUAUUUUGUGGCAUUUCCUAAGAUAUCUAGGGACUGUACAUGACGAGUAAUGUGUUUGGUAAAGCAAUAUGGCCAGUUUACAUAUUUAGUGUCAAUUCAGUAUUGCUCAUUGCAGUAAUGAUACAUAUGGUGGCAAUAUGAUGAGAUUUUGGUCUUUUGAGAGUUGGCUAUUUAUUAGCACUUGUUGAUUGCAUACGGUUAUCAAAGAUGUGCUAUUUUUGAUUAUUUUAUCUCUUUUUAACCUUUUAUUAUUUUCAUAUUCUUCAUGAUAUUGAAACUGUAUCAAUUAUUUGCAACACCUUGUUUUGAGAUUUGUCGUACCAUUUGAUAUUAAAAACCCUCUUUUAUUCGUGGUAAAACAGAGCUCUUAGAGGGCAGGAUCUUAAUGGCGUACUUCCACCAUCCUUGGUAAAGUUACCCUACAUCAAGACAAUGUAAGAAAUAUUUUCAUAUUUAUGCUUGUUUCUUGACAUGUUUAUUGGAUUUUUAUGCUUCCAUAAGAAAAACAGCACUACCUAUUGUUGCAGUGAUCUUGUUCGCAACUACCUCCAUGGCACGAUACCUCGCGAAUGGGCAUCUAUGAAGUUGGAAUAUAUGUGAGUAACACGUGCAUUUUAUAUUUGAUGUUAUUAAAUUCUUUAUUUAUCUUCCUCAAAUUGAUUGAGUGAAGAUAUGCUCCAGGGUUGUCAGUGUAAAUCGUUUAUCAGGGCCAAUCCCGAAGUACUUGGGAAACAUUACAACUCUCAGAGUAAUGUAUGCCACCACCCUCUCUCUCACACACACGCGUGCUCACACACACACCCAUGCAUUCAGUGGCACACAUGCAUAUACAUCAAAAAAUAAAAAAUAAAAAAAAUCCACUUCAAAUAAGUACAUAUUUAACUUAUUCACUAAUUUGAAAAAGAUAUAUUUUCAGGAGCUUAGAGAACAACUUAUUUAAUGGAAGUGUUCCGGCUGAGCUUGGGAAGCUAAUCAAUUUGACAAAUCUGUCAGGCCUCUUCUCUAUAUUUUAUCGGAUUUUCAAAGUCCUUUUUUUACCUCACUUAUCGAUGAAAUUUAUGUAUACAAGACCUGGUACUGAACACGCUUUCUUCUUAUUGUUUAUUGUAGUAUUCUUAAUGCUAACUAUUUCACGGGACAGUUACCGUUGGAGCUUACUAACCUAACCAAGUUAGUAGAACUGUAAGCAUACCAAUUGCCCUUUGCUAGUAUAAUAUUGGAAAAAUUUAAGAUAUGUUUCGUUUUUUCUUUAUAUGUUUUCUGUAAUAUUUACGAUUAUUUUUCCUUUUGGCCUAUGCAGUAGGCUAAACAGCAACAAUUUCAUGGGGAAACUACCUAGUUUUCAAAGUUGGAAACAACUUCAAAUGUUGUAAGUUCUCUAAAUUGCAUAUUAUUUUAGUUUGUUCUAACUUGAUAAGAGUUUUGAAAGUAAACCUAUUUGGGGGUGCAAGUGAAAUUUUAAUCCGUUUUAUUUGUGUAAUAACAGAGAGAUUCAAGCUAGUGGUUUUGAAGGGCCAAUACCUUCUAGCAUUUCUGUCUUGAGCAAUUUAACUCAACUGUGAGUUACUAGUGCUUUUAACCUCUUCUUCAGUUGCUUGUUUCAGAAGCAUUCCUAAUUUUUGCAAUAAAUUAACUACUGUUGAAAGCCGCCUGUGUUAAUAUGCAGCAUUAUUAGCGACUUAAAUGGAGGGGGCUCAGAAUUUCCUAACCUAGAAAACAUGACAGACAUGAGAUUAUUGUGAGUCAUACUAAUGAAGUGAUGAUUGUGAAAGAAAUAUGUAUAUUAAAUUCUUGCACUUUCUUUCUUCAGCAAUAUUAUUGACACAAAUUUGAUUUGUGUAGGAUUCUGAGGAACUGUCACAUAUCCGGGAAGAUACCUGUUCAUAUAGCACAAAUGAAUGAAUUGCGCAAAUUGUAACUUUACUACUUCCAUUUGCCUCUUCUCUCUCUCUCUCCCUCUCCCUCUCCCUCUCCCUCUCCCUCUCCCUCUUUAACAAGGAUAGUGCAAAGCAAAUUAUGAUUUUAAUAUAGAAGAGGGAAUAAAUAGAAAUGAAGUUUGUGCCGAGUUAAUUUUCCUUGUAGACUCUUGACCACAGUUUCAUGUUCUAUUGAAAUAGAAUUUUAAGAAAAAGAUGAUAGCUACUUGGAGUUAUCAAAGAUGCAGAUUUUAAUUAGUUCGCCUAUGCAGAAACUUUGGCAAUUAAUUAAAAAGAUUUGUUUUCUGAUAUAAAGACAACACAGUUGGACUCGGAAGGUAAAUGAAACUUACAAAUAGGAAAUUAAUGGUUAGAUAUCCUUCUAAUGUAGCACAACUCUAUGGGUAAUAAUCUUCUAUGUACAUCUAUUAUAUACUUAUGUGGACAUCCUAUUUUAUCACUAUAUACUUGUAAUGAAGCAAGUUUGUGUUGGAUGUGAUUUGCCAGAUUUUGUUUAGUUUAACGUCAUCUGAUUGGUGUUCCUGUUUCCUUCUUAAGUAUAAGCUCUCUGUUUUAUUUAUUGGCAGAGACCUUAGCUUUAACAAGCUGGAAGGGGAGAUACCAAAUGAUCUUGAAAGCCUAUCAAAUCUGGAGACUAUGUAAGCAAUCAAAAUUUAGUAAGGAAGAUCUUUUUAACUUGUGUAGGAAUUCUUUCUAGUUGUUUGAUAUACAUUUGUCAUAAUGUAUCCAAGUGGGAUGUCACACAUGAAUGGUCCAAUUCAGUUUUAUGUUUUAAUGAACCUUGUUUUAGAUUGAAAAUAAGUAGAGAGAACCAUUUGCUACCACAUUUCAAAUGGCAGGUGUACUAAUCCCACAUCCCUCCCCCCACCCCCCUCCCCCCAAUUUAGGUUUACCAGGAUAUUGAUAUUUUUAUAGUAUGACCAAUUAGCAGAGAUAACAUGCAUUGGGUAGAGCCCAAAUCUCAAGUAGUGAAUUUUUCUGUUGCUUUAUAUAUAAAUAAAUAUGUCUUGCUGGAUGUCAAACUUCUGUUAUCUUGAAGAGCAGAAGUCAUCAGUAUAUCUUCUUUAGGUCUAUUUUAUUCGCAUUAUGAUUUGAUAUAUCUACCUAUGUUAGUGGGUAACCCCAUAAAUUUGUGUGCGCACUACUCAGGUAUCUUACUAGUAACCUUCUUACUGGGCCUGUUCCGCAGUGGAUUGAAAGCAGAGAUCCUAAAGUGUAUGUUUACUAAAACUACACUCUUGAUCAGGUCGUAUAAAAUUUUCUGUUCAUAAUUAAUAUUAUGUUAACAUACAUGUUUAUCUAUUAUCAGAAUCUCUGUUGUAGGAUGUGAGUAAACAAAGCUAUGCAAACUAUAGCAGAAUACUACAAUACUAUGUUAAGCGAGAGGAAACUAGGUAUCUAAAGCAUGAUGAGUGUUUGAAGAUCUUGUUUGAAGAUCUUAAAGGUUCUCUUGAAAAGACAAGGAAUAUUAAGAAUGGUGGAGGAGUUACUUCAAAAAGUUGUAAAAAGAAAACCAUACGGGAGGGUAGCUUCAGAUGACUAUACAAAAUUUGGGAGGAUAAAAGGAAAUAAGGUUUUUCUUUUCCUUUGUGGAAUUAAGAUGUUCUUUGUAAAAGAUGCAUCGAGUAGGAUAAAUGAAGGGUUUUAGAAUCAGUGGUGGUGUAUAUCAGUUGGACUUAGAAGUGUUUAACGGGUGAAAUUGUGUCUUGGUGUUUAGAAUUUCUUAAAUUAUCAUAUAUUAGGAAAUUGUCUGAGGAGUGACAAGAAAAUAUUCUGGUAAUAUAUAUGAUAUUUCUGCCUAUCUUGGCAAUCCCUUUUCCCUGGUUGGAUGCUGGGACUGGAAUUUCCAGCUUAAUAUUUGAAAAUUAGUUGUCUGAUGCCUGAGAAAUGAAUCUGAUGCAGGGAUUUUGUCAAGAGUGACUAAAGUUUGAAUAAAAGAAAUUAUAAAAUCAGAGAGUUGACUAUAUAAAAAAAAUGAAACACAAGUCCACAAGGAACACAAUUAAAUUGUCAAUUACAAAUCCUCAACAAAAAUGGUCAAGGAAAUGAACAGUUAUAGACAAUUAAACAAACAUCCUCAAUUAACCAACCGAUAUACGCAAUCAAGCAAAAGUCCUCAAGGACCACAACUAACCAAUUAAUCAAUAAUAAUAAAUUAAUGUACUUGGUAUGGUUAAUCAAUAUGUGAGCUUGGAAUGUUGAAGAAAAGUUAGCUGCAAGGCAUGACAGGUGUUUUUCAAGUGCUUGGGGUGCUUGAUAGGUGUGUGGUAAUCAAAUAGUGUGAUAUAUAACCUUUUAAUGAUAAUGGAAGGAGCAGAUAUAUUGUUGGAAUGUUAUAACAUUUGGUUUCUAUUCCGUAUAUAGUGGAUUUUUUCUGUUACAUAAUGGAUUGCUAGUAUUUAAAAUUUUAGUUCUGUUAACUACUAAUUAAUUUCUGUUUUUUCUUAUUGCAUUAGUUUCCGAUUAACAAUAUAAACUCUGAUGGAAUUAAUACGCUCGUAUGCAGUCAAAUAGAUCUUUCUCACAAUAACUUUUCCAAGGUGCCACAAACUUGUCGGGAAACACUGUAAGCCUUAGAGUCCACAUGAUUUCUAUUCUUGAUCCACAUUCAGCUGACACUUUAUCAUUUUCAUCAGGAACUUGUUCAGAAGCUAUUCUGGAGGGAACAACUCGUAAGCUUUUAACUUGUUUCUUAUUGAAUAUUGAGAUGAAGAGAUUUUAGUUUAGGUUUACACCAAAAGGUUUGUGCUUAACUUCUCCUGUAUGAUUUAAACCAGAGAACUUGGUAAUUGCCUCAGCCGCUUUCCUUGUUUAGAGGGUAAGUAAUCUCCUAUAAUUCACGCUGACAUUUUGUAUUUUUUUUUUUGUGGCAUCGUAUGUUAGAUGAAAUAUUUUUACGAGUGAUAAAACUGAAAAUGAUAGAUAAAAUGAAUUCAAGGCCUGACCAGGUUAAGUUUAAUUUGCUCCACUAAUUGAUGCAAAAUGGUUUCAUCGAAUAUCUUAGAAAAGUCCGUGAUAUUCUUCAAUUUGCACUAUCGAAGAAUAUCCAACGGACAACUCUAUGAAUUACUGGAUUGUUGUUUACUAAGUAUUGCAUUCUGCAGUAAUACAAUAAGUUAGAAGAUCAAGAAAUAAUAAGGAAAUGAAUUUUUCCAAAUAUAUUUUUUAGAAUGCUACAUGUGUCCCUUAUUUAUAGUGUUUGAAUAGGUGUCAUUUGGUAAGUUACAACUUUUCAAAAUAAGAAAAAAACUUCUACUAACUGUUGCAGGUUUAGUUAUUGUAGUAGUUACAAAUAGUUGUAACUUCUGGCUUGUAACUAACACCAAUCGCUGUUCCAAAAAAUAACUACCAUUGUUGCUUGUUGUUGUUGUAUCUAUUAUUACAACAACAAUUUCACUGGUUUAUUACAACAAUAUAUAGGUCAUUUCUAUGGCAUUUAAUAUGUAUUUCAUUUUCUCUUUUCAACUUCAUAUAUAAAAUAAGCCCACCCAAAAUUUAAUUAAAUUUUUUGAAAAUCAUUAACAUCGUCUAGAUUUUUUAAUCUGAUUAUAUCCAACAUUUAGGUUUGCUCUUUCCUUUUUAGUAUCUCUGAUCCUAUCUAACAUAAGUAAAAUUUUGAUGUUUUGUAGAUAGGUACUCACUGCAUAUUAAUUGUGGUGGAAGCCAAACUACCAUUGGAAAGAUUAAUUUUGAAGCGGAUGAAGACCCAGUAGGUCCGGCAAAAUUUGUUCCUUUGAGGAGAGACUGGGGAACUAGUAGCACAGGAUACUUUUUGUAUCGUAACGAAUCUAUAGACGGAUAUACAGCAAAUAAUAUAUCUGUUCUCCCAAUGAAUGACUCUGAAUUGUACAUGAAAGCUCGGCUCUCUCCUUUAUCUCUCACUUACUAUGGCCGUUGUUUAGCAAAUGGAAACUACACUGUAACACUUCACUUUGCUGAGAUAAUAUUCAGAGAUAAUCGAUCUUUUCAGAGUCUUGGAAGACGGAUGUUUGAUGUUUAUGUCCAGGUUAACUAUAACACUAUCGAUGUUUCACUCAUUUUGUGUGAAGAAGUGUAUUUUCGUUCUAACUAAUUAGCUUUCUAUAGGAUGAACGAAAACUCAAGGAUUUUGAUAUCGAAAACAAGGCACAAGGAGUUGAUAAGGCGGUAAUAUACACAACUAAAGCACUUGUAAAGGAUAAAACUUUACAAAUUCGCUUUGUUUACACCGGGAAAGGGACAACAGCUGUCCCUAUGAGAGGAACAUAUGGCCCUCUGAUAUCUGCUAUUUCUGUAGAAGCUGGUAAGUUUUACUCUGUUUAACGACUGUCAUGCAUCUUUCAACUGUUUAGCAGUGUUCUCCCUCUCCCCCUCUCCCCCUCUCCCCCUCUCCCUACUUAAUAAUGAAUUUUAUUUAGGAAUAUUCUGGCCAUGAACAGAACUGUGUGUGCAAUAUAAUAUCUUUUGCAUCUUUCUCCUGUUUUGUAGAUUUCAAGCCUCUUUCGGAUGGAAAACGAAAUAUAUACAUUGCAGUCGGAGUUGUGGCUUUAGGAUUAUGCCUUAUACUCGCAGUUCUUGGUGUUGCUUGGUGGAAGGGCUAUCUAGGGGGGCAAAUGUCAAGAGAACAAGGUGUCGUAGUUCAAUUUGUUUGAUUUAAAGGGAAGAGCCAAAAUUCCAUAUAUAUGAUAGGAUUAUAUAAUUUUUUGGUUUUACCCCAUGGACUACAAUGUUAUAUAGCAAAUGAAUUUACACUUGGUCAUGUAAAUGUGACCAUCUCUUAGAUUUGUGGAUGUCAUGUAAAUGUGACCAUCUUUUAGAUUUAGGGAUUUCAUAAAGUAAUAUUUUGACUCAAAAAGACAAACUUUUAAGAUAGAUAACUCAUGAAGAUGCAAAACUACUACUUGGUUUGUAAGAUUCAUUUCAACAUCAACAUAUGUUCUUCUGCAGUGCUGAGAGGAUUAGAUUUGCAGACUGGCGUAUUUACCUUUCAACAAAUUAAAGCUGCCACUAACAACUUUGAUGCUGCAAACAAGAUUGGGGAGGGUGGGUUUGGAUCUGUUUACAAGGUAUAUAGCAAUUUAAUUCUUCACCUUUUGUACUUAAAAAAAACAAAUUAUCAACUCGACACGCUUUUUUUUUUUCUGUUUUAUUUGUGGGGUUAUGACAAUGGGAGAUGAGCUCAAGUUACAUGGACUCAGAUGGAGUCCGACACGGAUACUCCUCCAUCUUCAGCACCCAUACCCUUUUCGAGUGUCGGACACGAGUACUUUAAGUUUAUGGCAAUGUGAAGAGUCUAUGUAACAUAGGAGAUGAGCAUCACUCAAAAGGUUUGUCACAAUUACAUUUUCCUUACAUUGCAGGGUAUAUUAUUGGAUGGUACCAUAAUUGCUGUUAAGCAACUUUCUAACAGAUCAAAUCAAGGGACCCGUGAAUUUGUGAAUGAAAUAGGCAUGAUAUCUAGUUUACGACACCCAAAUCUAGUAAGAUUGCAUGGAUGUUGUGCUGAACGUAAGCAAUUACUACUAGUGUAUGAGUUCAUGGAGAACAACAGCCUCGCACAGGCUCUGUUUGGUAAGUUCAGUUUUUACUUCCCCAUGUAUAUUAUGUUACUUAAACUAAGUGGGACUGAUGAUCAUCCACAAGAAAUAUUAUUCUUCUUCUAUUAUUUUUCCCUUGAAUCCUGAGCCAGAAUCUUCAGACUCUUCCAUUUAUUUGUAUAUCAAUGUCACUUGCAGGUCCAGAGGAAUCCCGAUUGUAUUUGGACUGGCCUACCAGACAAAAAAUUUGUAUUGGCAUAGCCAGAGGCCUGGCUUUCCUUCAUGAGGAAUCAAUUCUGAAAAUUGUUCAUAGAGAUAUCAAAGCUACUAAUAUACUUCUUGAUAGCAACCUCAACCCAAAGAUCUCGGACUUUGGUUUGGCCAAGCUUGACGAAGAGGAGAACACUCAUAUUAGCACUAGAGUUGCUGGAACUAUGUGAGCUCUUUUUUUCCCUAUUCUAUUCAAAAAUAUUUUUUACUUUACAUAUUCCUUUCUUUUUUGCCUUUUUUAGAAGCUAGUGAAGAAUUAACCAAUUUUUUUUUCUUUUAAUGAAAUCACGGGUGUCCAAAACUCUUAGACAAUUCCACUAAUCCCAUGGGUACAUGUACCCCACAAGAACCUUGCACCAGGAAAAUUCAAGCAAUAAGCUUGUGUGGGUAUCCCGUGGUUUUUCAUGUUUAUGUGGGACUUGAGGUACACAAAAGAUCAUCUGGACGAGUAGAAGUAUGAAAUCACAAUUUUCAUUUGUAAUAUUAUUUUGCAGAGGGUACAUGGCACCAGAAUAUGCAUUAUGGGGUUAUUUGACAGAGAAAGCAGAUGUAUACAGUUUUGGGGUUGUUGCACUUGAAAUUGUUGCUGGAAAAAACAACAUGAAAUAUCGUCCAAACGAAAAUUAUGUUUGUCUUCUUGAUUGGGUAAGACUAUAUUACUUCUUUGCAUGCCUUUGAGUACUUUACACUUCAAUUCUAUUUCUUCAAUUACCGGCUUCUUUAUAUAUAAUUGUUUCAGGCUCCUGUUAUACUACAAAAUGGAAGAGUCUUAUAUACAACUUAUAAUUGUUUCAGGCUCUUGUUAUACAACAAAAUGGAAAUUUGAUGGAGCUUGUGGAUCCAAGGUUGGGUUCCAAUUUCAACAAGGAAGAGGCAAUGAGAAUGAUUAGAGUAGCUCUAUUAUGCACUAAUUCAUCUCCGGCACUUAGGCCAAUCAUGUCUUCUGUAGUAAGCAUGCUUAAAGGCGAUAUCAGCAUUCAAGAGUUAAACCCGAAUUCAGGUAUGUAUGGCGACGAUUUCUUCAAGUUUCAAGCCCUCAGAGACAAGUAUAACGAGCAGGAAAUGAGCAGCUCAAGUCAAUGUGAGACCUCCAUGCUUUCUUCUAAUGAAAUAAACAAUGGCUCCUCCUCCACAUCUGCCCAUGACUUGUAUUCAGUCAAACUUUAGUCUCAUUAUCAAGUAAUAUUGAUAUAUAUAUUCUCUGUUAGCCAAUUGGCCUGUGGUUGGAAUUCUUGGGAUAUAAAUGUAAAAUACUUAGAAAAAUAAUUUUGAAAAAAUAUAGCUAUAUAAAUCUGGUGUUCGCAGCAUUGCUUCCUACUAUGUGCAUUCAUUCAAUUCCAACGGAACAAUCUAGUCAUUUCUGAUUCUUGCAAUCCAAUCGAUGUCUUUGUAUUUUCUUUUUUUAAUGUACUUACCAAAAAAGUUCAAUCCAAUCGAUGUCAUAUCACAAUUUUAACUUUAGUAUUUCACAAAUUAAUUACAAGAAAAUUCAAUUCAAAUUAGACUCUUUUUAUUUAUAUGUAUGCAUGUGUGUUUGUGUAUAUACUCAUUGAAUCAGUCUGCGAUUUCACUGGAGAUUUGUACGACAUUCCGACAAGUACACAGGUGAACAUUUAGUUAGUUUGAAUUGAAAAACUGUUGUGGGUUUAAUUUAUUUUUUCACACCAUUUUAGGGUUCAAUUUAUUCUUUAUACCCAAUAAGUAACAUUGACAUUUACAAACACAACUCUCAAAUGGUCCCUGCUGCUUGACUUUUAAACCCUUUUUUUUUUCCUUUUUUUUCCAGUGAACCAGUUUAUAGAAUUAAUUGUAGGAGUACCCAAAUUUGGGAAUGUGAGACUUGAUAAAGGUGUGAUUUGGAUUCUCAACCACGGCCAAUAGUUGGUGGCAACUUUAAGUCGUACUUGAAGUCUUUGAGUUUCGGCCCAAAUAUAGGUGUGAUGCGAUUCUUCCACACCAAAAAAAAUAAUACUCCCUCGACUUAUCGACUUUUUGAAGCUCAAAAUUGACGUAUAUUCCUCUACUUUUAAUUAAUACAAUGGCAUUCUGUCAAUGUAUUGGAAGAAGUUCCUAUCAAAAUCACAAAGAAGAUAACACGGUGGAAUGGAACAGUAGGCACUUGAAGAAGAAACUAAGAUAAAUAAUAUUUGUGGAAUAUAUGAAACUGCUAGUCUAUUCUCCCCCCGGCCCCUCAAAAUUUGAAAGGUUAUCACGAAUUCAAGUGUCAUGACAAUCAAUAAGUCUUGCCGGACAAGAAAGCUGGACAGGAAAUUCGCUUGUCCAAUAAACCGGUCCAAUUGACUGUCUGUGUAGAAGCACCCCCAUGACAAUAUAGUCAAUUCAUAUCAAGUUGAAAAUAAUCUUCUUGUCUGAUGUGUAGACAUCAAUUAUGGGUCAUGAUCAUGUUCCUACAUUAAUUUCACAUUCUAUUCAACAAUUACAGAUUCAUGCAUAUAAAAGUUUAUAAAGACUCAGAUGACACUAUUUUUCUUGGAGCCAAACAAGAAUUGCUCAGUAUACCAACCAACCCAUAGUUAUCAACUAGUUUCGUCUGGUGGUUAAUUACUUGCUAGUCAAGUCCAACGGAAGACUCGGGGAUGUUGCUAAAUCGUCGUUUUGGGUCGACUAACCAUACAAAUUUUUUAUUUUAUUUUUGUACUUUAGUUAUCAUCUAACAAGUUUGCGGUACCUUGACCCAUUAUAAAAAAUUAAUGGAUACAUAUAUAAUUGCCUAUAAUGAUUUCCGCAAGUCCUAAUAUUUUUUCAUCGGUGGCCUACUUGCUUUUCUUUUAUUUUUCCUUUCUUUUUAAACAAUGAGCAUUAAAAUAAUAUUUAUUACCCUAAUGAAUUGUGAAAUAGUAUAUUAUAUUUGUGAGAAUAAUUUUUAUUUUAUGUAACAGAAAUAAUAUACAGUUAACAUGUAUAUAGGAGUGUUGGAUACCGAAAGUAGGCAAUUUCAUAAACCGACACCGGUACCGGUAUCGAAAAAACCGGUAUACCGAUUACCCAGCUCGGUACCGGUUUAUACAUUGUUUGUACCGGUUAUAUGUAAGGAAAAAAAAGGUGACACCAUAGUACCUGUUUAUACAUUGUUUGUACCUGUUAAUGAACCUCAGUAUCAUGACACCAUAGUCCAUAGUGAUUAAACAUAAAGUGAUCAUAAGAUUAUACACAAAGUGACCAUUGACUAGUGACAGUCUUAACCAUAGAAUCAAACUAUCAAUACAGGCUAUUAAUACAGCUACUGAGCUACAUGAUAAACAAACUUCUCCAAAAAAGGACAUACAUAACAUCAAUACAGCUAGAUUUCUCCAAAAUAGGACAUAAGUACAUAACAUCAAAACAAAAUAAUAAAACUUCAUUUGGAUAGUAGUAAUAAAACAGCCAACACUUCAGCACUUCAGCAGCAGCGUGUCAGUGUCAGCCACAAAACAGUUCAGACCCACCAUUCAGAUGUUAUUAAGGGAAGCAUGAUCCACCAUUACUACAAAGCAUUAACAAACAUAUGUUAGCAGUUAAUUUGGGAAAAAAGACUAACUGAUCACAUACAUGACCAUUUAGGAAAAAAGACCAACUGAUCUUUACAAACAUACAUGACUGCUGAAUCAAGAAAACAAACAGUUAAUUUUCACUAAGAUCAGAAUUGAAUAUGUAAGUAAUAUCUAAGUGAAUGAGUAGAGGAAGAGCUAUGCAUUUGAAAAUAAAAAUCUGCCAACAGAACUUUAGAGAUUUCAUUACAAAUAAACAAUGUUUUAUGUGCUACAUACUUUUUUAAUGUGAAAUUUAAUGCAAUCAGUCAUCCAUAUUCUUACCCGUGCACUGCCAACUGCCAUAUCUUCAUUAAAUUCCGCCAUCCAUAUCUAAAACUUCUGCAAAUUCUAAGAAAGAUCAAAAUAAAAUAAAAUUAGUUAAAGAAAGUCAUUAAUUAAUAUAUAAACAUUAUAGAUGAAAGCUAUAAAAUUUAAAAUUAAGGAUUACCUUUCUCAAUUGUUUCAAGUGAAUCUAAGUUCUCCUCUACGGACAUUGGUCGUUUGCUUGAACGGAGCCAAUCUUGAGCACAAAUAAGAGCUUGUACCAUUCUAGGAGUUAAAGAACUCCUAAAUGGAUCAAGUACACGAGAAGGCACAUUGAAUUUUGGACAUGCAACUGACAUCAAGUAUUUAAAACCCACAUUCUCCACAUGGCUAAAAGGAAGUUCAUCUACAAUUAUCAUAAAAGAAAUUGCCCUCCUAAUUAACUCUUGAUCAAAUUUCCAUAAACAAACACUAUUGGUUGAUUCCCCUUCCAACUCUUGACCUCCUUCACUAAUAUUUGAUGGUGGAAAAUUUAAUAUUGCUCAUUUUCUUUCCUUUAAUUGAAUAUUAGGAGGGUACAAUUUACAUCUUACAUUAUGAUUCCUUAAACCACUUAUCCCAUUCUUUUCCGAGUUGGCUUUUAAAACUUGACCACAAUACUUGCACUUUGCCUUUAUUUCAUCAUUUUGCUUAAAUCUUAUAUAAUGUUCCCAUAUAAUAGCACGAGUCUUACUGAUUAUUUGCUCAAUCUCUUCAACUUCAUUUGGAUUUUGCGUUUCGCAACUCUCGCUUCCUCCAUUGUUUCCUCCAUUAUUUGGGACUUGGCUUGGAUUUGUAUUGGAUGAUAUUGGUAUAGUGGUAUCCAUGUUUUACAUCAAACUGUACAUAAAAACACAAACAAAUUAGGCAGUGCAGUCAUUUGACUCAUAGGCAGUGCAGUCAUUAACAGAGGAAUAGGCAUAGGCAAAUUAGGCAGUGCAGUCAUCAACAGUCAUUAACAAAUUAGGGAGAAAUCAUGAAGGCAGUGCAGUCAUUAACACAAGGCAUGAAGGCAGUGCAGUCAUUAACACAAGAACUGAAGGCAGUGCAGUCAUUAGACUCAUCCCAUAAUACUCAAUAGACAGUGCUUGGCAGUUGGCAGUGCACAAAGCAGUAACCUUAAAAAACAAAAACCACCAGCAAAAAAAAAGCCCUAACAAUACCAAAAAAAGCCCUAACAAUACCAAAAGCAGUAACCAUUAAACAUGCUCAAAUGCCAUAUAUAGACAAAAUAAGCCAUGACCACCAAAAUAGGGAGAAAUCGACAAAAUAAGCCCUAACAAUGCCAUAUAUAGACAAAAUAAGCCCUAAAAAUGCCAUAUAUAGACAAAUCGACAUAAAUAGGGAGAAAUCAAUUAACUAAAUCUCAGAAUAAACUCAAAAUUACCUAAUAAAAAGGAAUAAUCUGGAAUCUAGAAUCGAGAUGGAUGGACCAUUGGACUGGGUUCGUUCGAUUCGACUGUUCGAGAAGGAGAGCACUGGGUUUGGCCGUCUGGUCUGGGUUCGCGACUUCGAGUUCGACACUUCGACUGGUCUGUUCGAGCCUUCAAUAUGGGUCUGGGUCUGGGUCUGGGUCUGGGUCUGGGUUUGGGUCUGGGAGGAGACUGGAGAGUGGAGAGAGAGAUUUAGGGAAGUCGAAGACCGGCGUGUUUAGGAAUGAAGACUGAAGUUAAGUCUGGCGUGUUUAGGAAGGAAGAAUGAAUUGAAGACUGAGAUAUUUUUAAUUUAACAUUAUUAAAUAAACCGGUACAUCCGGUUCGGUUCGGCAUAUACCGAUCAAGUGAAAUAGACUACCGAAACCGAUCCCGAAAUCCGAUUUGUUCCGGUUAUAUGUACCGGUACCGAACCGGUUCAUUUGUGUACCGAACCGACCGGUUCGAACCGGUUCGAUUUCCCUAAAAACCGAAAAAUACCGUUUGGUUUGAACACCCCUACAUGUAUAUAUUGUAUAUUAGAAAUGACUUGUCGAUUUAUGAGCGACUUGGACUUGACAACUUGACAAUUGUGUACCUCUACCUACUUAAAAUUAUUGUUACUUAUAGUGAAUCCAACAAGUAGACCUGGCAAACGGGCCGGGCUGGUCCAAACGGGCCGGGACAUUAACGGGCCGGGCUAAAAUAGCCCGGAUUUUGGUGGGCUGGAAUUAAGUGGCCCGGGUUGGGCCGGCCCGGCCCGACCCGCGGGCCUUUUCAUUUUUUUAAUAUAAAAACUUGUGCAUUACAAAUUCAUAAUAAUAUUUAAAUUUUAAUCAAUCACAAAUUCAUAAUAAUAUUUAAAUUUACAUACAAUGAUAAAUGAUACAAAUUCAAACUGCAGAUGGUCACCAUCAACAGAAAGUCAGAAACUGCAGAUGGUCCAAAUACCAAAUGCAUUUGCUUCAGUUGAAAACAGGUGCAUACAGCAUACUUCAUACAGUUUAAGCAGAUCCCAUCUGCGUUUUGAAAACAGGUCACAGGUGCAUACUUCAUACUUCAUAGACCAUAGUUCAUACAGUUUAAACAGGUGCAAUCCCAUCUGCAAAAUGAAAACAGGCCAGAGGCCUAAUUAAAACAGAUCCUGCAAAUGCAAAACAGAUCCUGCAAAUGCAAAUGAAAACAGGCAAGUAAAAACAGAUCCUGCAAAAUCAAAACAGUUUAAGCUCCUUCAGAUGACUGCAUAGUAAAAAGAGAGAGUAUGACUCGAAUUUCCAGUGCUCUGCAUAGAAAAAAGAGAGGGUAUGACAUAUAUUUUGUGCACUUCAAUGUGUGGGUAUCUGAUUCUGUUCAAGCAUGUCACUAUGUCAGCCAAGCAGAUCAUAUAUAUGACAAGAGUUCUAUUGUGCUAGAAAAAUAAGAUAUGAAGCUAUAUAGAUCGAACAUACUAAAUGUAUCUCCAAAAUUCAAGCUCAUCGAGAUGCUUUUAUUGGCACUGGAAUUGUAGUUAAAUAUCAAGUUAUCAACCAAGUUUGGAAGUAAAUCACAUUGAGCUAUCUGUGAUCAAUGAUCACUUUAUAGAACUCUACAAAGUACAAACACAAAAUAUUGUUAAACAAUUAACACAUUAACAAUGCUCAGAUUGGAAACAGACGAAUAUCUUAUACCAGUAAAUAAGGAAAUCUAACUUUUUAGCCAUUAAUUGCAGAAAAGUGCUUAAAGGUAUUGAAUUAAUUGGUUACAAGCAUAGCCUUUAUGCAUUAUUUAUUGAAUGGGAGAACUUGUGCCUUUUGAGCCAGCCAAACUGGAGCUGCUAUGUUGUUGCUAGAUUACAGAAAUGAUGAAACUUCCUAAAUGCUAGUACAUAAAGAAUGUAAUAUAAUGAUUAUCCGUUCAACUUACUAAAUGGUAUAAUUCUAAAUGAAAUCUAUUUUAAGUUUUGGAUAAUUUUGGCAGUACCACUAAAGUGAAUCCAUGGCAGAUUAAAACAUUACACUAAGAUAGUGAGGAUGAAGCAAAUGCUAAAGUGCUUUGGUAUCAAAUAACAAGAGACUUGACAGACACCAAGAAGUGGAAUUUUUUAUGUUAUACUAUUUUUGUGCCUCACCUUCUAUUUCCUCAAUUUCUUUGUGACUUAAUUACCAAAUUCAUCGAAUAUUGUUACAAAUUGGACCAGCACAAGGUCAAGGCGUUAAGGCGACGCGAGGCGGUGGUCAAGCACCUAGAUGAGUGAAAGACUGAAAAAUGAAGAGAAAACUACCUGGACUCUCGGCAAAGAAGAAGUCAGAAGUCAAUCCACACUCUCCGGCGUCUCGGCGAAGAAGAAGUCAGAAGUCAGUUCUUAGUUUCAGAUCUGAAAUCUAGAUGAGAGUAUCAGAGUAUGAGACUAGAAGUAGAAGACUAGAUCUAGAUCUAAAAAUAAGCUAGCUAACUUAGCGUCUACUGUCUAGCGAGUCUGAGAGAGUGAGAGUCGAGUAACUGAGUAGCACGGGUUUUUUCAAAAUUACCGGGCGGGCCGGGCGCCCGCGGGCGGGCUUGCAUUGGGUCGGGUUAAAAUUGGGUUGGAUCAAAAAGGCCCAAAUUUUAGUGAGCUAAAAAAUAAAACUCAUAGCCCAAUUUUUGACGGACGGACUGGCCCGGCCCGCGGGCCUGGGCUGCUUUUGCCAGGUCUACCAACAAGUAUAAGAACAAUUGUAAAAUCCUACCUAAUGAUUCCUUUAUUACAAAUAGAGUAUUAAAAAGUUACAUAUUGGAUAAACUUUUGUGGUAGUUAUUGGCAUAUUAAAUGAGGCCCUCACUGUAUUUUUAUUUUGACUAAAAUACAGUUUGUACCUCAAAGUUUAUAAAAUAGUUGAGGUUUAUUUAAGACGUAUCUAAGUGUACCUUAAAAAUCUUUUAUGUUAAAUAAAAUGCACCCUCCGAAGUUUAAACUGAUCAAAAUGCACCCCAAAAGUUCUUUUUAACUCAACAAAAUCCACCCCAAAAUUUGUUGCACUAAACAAUACGCAUCCUCCUUUGGAACGAUUAAAAGCAUCUUCAGCAGUGUCGGAGUCACAAAUCCUAGACUAUAUUUAGUCUAGGAACACAAUCUCGCUCCAGCAGAUAGACUAAAUAUAGUCCAUUGAAUUUUUCGGCGAGGCACAAAAACUAUAUCAAAGAACAAGAGUUGGUGGAUUAUAAUUGUGACUAUAAAUUUUAAUAUAUUUAAAUGAGAGAGAUGACUGAAGAAGAAGGAAAAUUGCUUAAGAAGGAGAACUGGAGGAGAAGAUGAAGGGUCAGCUCCAACAGAUAUAAAAAAAAUAAGAACGACAAAAAAAAUUUGGUUAGUAAUAAAAUACUAACGAAUAGAAAUUGAAAAUAUAAAUUGGAAAAUCUAUAAUAUGUACAAUUGUGUUAUAAAACUUUAGCAAAGUAUAGAAAUAAACUCUUAUAAUUGCUGCAUAAAUUUAGAGAGAAUAAGCAAGAAAAAAGAAGAGAUAAACUUUGAGAGAAUUUCUUCAGAGAAAUUAUCUUAUUUUUCUUUGUUAACUAUCACUGCCUUUAUAUAGGCAAUGAGAAGAGGAGUAAGGAAGAAGGAAUCAUCAUGAGAGAGGAGAGAUGAGGGAGGUAAGCUGUCAUUCAUGUACCCUCACGCGGAGGAAAUCAUGAUUAUAACACUUUUCCUGAUUUCCUCCGAUAGAAGAUUAUGUCUCAUUAAAAACCUUGUUAAGAAAAUCCAGUGGGAAAAACUUAACGAAGGGAAAAAGAGUACAUAUCUUUUACAUAAAUAUUUUUAAAUUGAUUGCCUCGUUAAAACCUUGUCAGGAAAAACCCAUUGGGAUAAAAACCGUGACUAAGGAAAAAGAGUAUAGUCUUCCCCUCAAAAGGAAUUCAUUGCUUCUUGAUGAAAUGUUAUCACAAGUCUUUCAGUCGGCACAUUCCAAUCCUUUUCCGAAGUUUAGCAAACGUUGCAUUUGGUAGCGACUUUGUGAAUAAGUCGGCCAGAUUAUCACAUGAUCGAAUUUGAUGUACAUCUAUAUCACCCUUCUUUUGUAGCUCAUGUGUGAAGAAUAAUUUAGGUGAAAUGUGCUUUGUUCUAUCUCCCUUGAUGUACCCUCCUCUAAGUUGAGCAAUGCAUGCAACGUUAUCUUCAUACAGAAUUAUAGGAAUGUCUUUGAUUGAUGGUAAUCCACGUGACUUUUGAAUAUGCUGAAUAAUUGAUCUCAACCAAACACACUCUCUGCUUGCUUCAUGUAUAGCGAGAAUCUCUGAGUGAUUUGAAGAUGUAGCUGUCAUGGUUUGCUUUGUGGAUUUCUAGGAUAUAGCCGUGUCACAAUAUGUAAAUAUAUAACCUGUUUGUGAUCUUCCAUUAUAUGGAUCUGAUAAAUAUCCUGCAUCGGCAUAUCCAACCAAUUGCAACGUUGAAUUUCUUGGAUAAAAUAACCCAAGAUCUAUACUUCCACAGAGGUAUCUCAAAAUGUGUUUGAUCCCAUCCCAAUGUCUCUUAGUCGGAGAAGAACUGUAUCUUGCUAAUAAGUUGACAGCAAAAGUAAUAUCAGGCCGUGUACAGUUUGCAAGAUACAUAAGAGCACCUAUUGCACUUAGGUAUGGAACUUCUGGUCCAAGAACUUCUUCCCGGCUUUCUAGAGGCCGAAAUAGAUCUUUAUCAACUUCUAAAGAUCGAACAACCAUCGGGGUAGUCAAAGGAUGAGCUUUAUCCAUAUGAAAAAGACUGAGAAUCUUUUCAGCAUAUGUGGAUUAAUGAACAAAAAUUUCAGAUGUUAAAUGCUCCACUUGUAUUCCUAAACAGAAUUUUGUCUUUCCAAGAUCUUUCAUUUCAAAUUCAUCUUUUAAAUAAGUAGCAGUUUUUGUGAGUUCUUCAGGAGUACCUACAAGAUUCAAAUCAUCCACAUAUACAGUAAUAAUGGAAAAUCCACUUUGUGAUUUUUUAAUAAAAAUACAUAGACAUAUUUGAUCAUUUAUAUAUCCAUCUUUUAUUAAAUAAUCACUAAGUCGAUUAUACCACAUACGACCAGACUGUUUCAACCCAUACUGUGACGCCCCCAAAAUAGGUCUAUUCCAUCCAACCCAUUCUGAGUCGCCAAAUACAUGGUACAGAAAUAACUACAACUUUAUUAUUACAACAUAUAAACUGUGAGUUUAAAUACAGAUAUUGUCAUCUAGACAAUAUCCACACGCAAAUAAAUCCCCAUCAUAAUUAUUGAUACAUUAUUUUACAAAAAUGGUGAGGACUACUAAACAACUCUCUCUAGAANNNNNNNNNNNNNNNNNNNNNNNNNNNNNNNNNNNNNNNNNNNNNNNNNNNNNNNNNNNNNNNNNNNNNNNNNNNNNNNNNNNNNNNNNNNNNNNNNNNNNNNNNNNNNNNNNNNNNNNNNNNNNNNNNNNNNNNNNNNNNNNNNNNNNNNNNNNNNNNNNNNNNNNNNNNNNNNNNNNNNNNNNNNNNNNNNNNNNNNNNNNNNNNNNNNNNNNNNNNNNNNNNNNNNNNNNNNNNNNNNNNNNNNNNNNNNNNNNNNNNNNNNNNNNNNNNNNNNNNNNNNNNNNNNNNNNNNNNNNNNNNNNNNNNNNNNNNNNNNNNNNNNNNNNNNNNNNNNNNNNNNNNNNNNNNNNNNNNNNNNNNNNNNNNNNNNNNNNNNNNNNNNNNNNNNNNNNNNNNNNNNNNNNNNNNNNNNNNNNNNNNNNNNNNNNNNNNNNNNNNNNNNNNNNNNNNNNNNNNNNNNNNNNNNNNNNNNNNNNNNNNNNNNNNNNNNNNNNNNNNNNNNNNNNNNNNNNNNNNNNNNNNNNNNNNNNNNNNNNNNNNNNNNNNNNNNNNNNNNNNNNNNNNNNNNNNNNNNNNNNNNNNNNNNNNNNNNNNNNNNNNNNNNNNNNNNNNNNNNNNNNNNNNNNNNNNNNNNNNNNNNNNNNNNNNNNNNNNNNNNNNNNNNNNNNNNNNNNNNNNNNNNNNNNNNNNNNNNNNNNNNNNNNNNNNNNNNNNNNNNNNNNNNNNNNNNNNNNNNNNNNNNNNNNNNNNNNNNNNNNNNNNNNNNNNNNNNNNNNNNNNNNNNNNNNNNNNNNNNNNNNNNNNNNNNNNNNNNNNNNNNNNNNNNNNNNNNNNNNNNNNNNNNNNNNNNNNNNNNNNNNNNNNNNNNNNNNNNNNNNNNNNNNNNNNNNNNNNNNNNNNNNNNNNNNNNNNNNNNNNNNNNNNNNNNNNNNNNNNNNNNNNNNNNNNNNNNNNNNNNNNNNNNNNNNNNNNNNNNNNNNNNNNNNNNNNNNNNNNNNNNNNNNNNNNNNNNNNNNNNNNNNNNNNNNNNNNNNNNNNNNNNNNNNNNNNNNNNNNNNNNNNNNNNNNNNNNNNNNNNNNNNNNNNNNNNNNNNNNNNNNNNNNNNNNNNNNNNNNNNNNNNNNNNNNNNNNNNNNNNNNNNNNNNNNNNNNNNNNNNNNNNNNNNNNNNNNNNNNNNNNNNNNNNNNNNNNNNNNNNNNNNNNNNNNNNNNNNNNNNNNNNNNNNNNNNNNNNNNNNNNNNNNNNNNNNNNNNNNNNNNNNNNNNNNNNNNNNNNNNNNNNNNNNNNNNNNNNNNNNNNNNNNNNNNNNNNNNNNNNNNNNNNNNNNNNNNNNNNNNNNNNNNNNNNNNNNNNNNNNNNNNNNNNNNNNNNNNNNNNNNNNNNNNNNNNNNNNNNNNNNNNNNNNNNNNNNNNNNNNNNNNNNNNNNNNNNNNNNNNNNNNNNNNNNNNNNNNNNNNNNNNNNNNNNNNUUCUUCAAAUUCAUCAGCUCCGGUGUGUAGCUUGAACAGCUUUAACUUUAUCGAUUAAAGUCGAUUAUACUCAUAUAUCAUCACGUGGGUACCGAGAGUUUUCAUCUCCAUCUCUAUUAUUUGUAAAUUAUAUGAAAUGAGUCUUUGACAAUAUCGUACUCGUACUUGUAUACGAUCUUCUACUUAACACGUCAGCUACCACGUUCGCUUUUCCAAGAUGGCAUGGUCAGAACAUGUGCUGAAAUGAGUCUCCUCUUGAGUUCUUCGAAGCUAUUCCCACAUUCCUUGCUCCUUUCGAAUUUUGUAUCUCUACGAGUCAGCUGCGUUAAUGGAAUAGCGAUUCGAGAAUAUCCUUCAACGAAUCUCCGAUAAUAAUCAACUAAGCCUAGAAAGCUACUUAUUUCGAUUACCGACUUAGGUUGUUCUCAACUGUGACUCAUAUCCCAACCUUGGAUAGCACGUUACAAUGACACCUAUCAGUUUACUAUCGCACGAAUAUGGUGUCCCCUACAGAGAGUCUGGCUUCGGUGCAUUCAACAAAGGAAGUCACCAGAUAAAGGCUCGGGUAUCAACUUCUACCGUUGGGUUUUUAACUCCUGAAGUUCAAUAGGAGCCAUUCGAUAUGAGAUUUUAGAAAUAGGUUUUGUACUGGAUUUAAAGUCGAUACAAAUUCAAUAUUAUGCUCUGAGAGUAGGCCAAGAAAUUCUUCAGGAAAUACGUCAGGAAACUCACUAACAACAGAAAUAUCAUUUAAAUCUAACAUAUUUUUGUUCAGGUCCAUAACAUGGCUAAGAAAGCUUGACAUCUGUUUUCAAUAAACGAAUGGCUUUAUAGCUUGAUAUGAAAGAGUUUGACUUCAAUGGUUUGGUUGCUUGAAUUCGAAUAACAGGUUGCUUAGGAAUACGAAAACUAACAACCUUACGAAAGCAAUCAGUUUUGGCAUGAUGAGUAGUUAACCAAUCAAUCCCUAAAAUCACAUCAAAAGCAAGUAUCUUCAAAGAGAUAAGAUCAACAGGUAAUGUGAUGGUGGCAACUUGAAUCAAGCAAUAUUUCUAAACAACGGAUGUAAUGAAAGUUUCUCCUAACGGAGUCUCUACAGAUAAGUCAAAAUCUAAUUUCUCCGUAGUCAAGUUCAAACGUUGAGCGCAAGCAAGAGAGAUAAAAGAAUGGGUAGAACCAGUAUCUAGUAAGGUAUAAACUUCGCAAGAAUUUAUAAUUAACUAACUCGUGCUAAAUUCGUUCGGGUUCCUCGCAUUUUGACCGGUCACGACAAACGCUCUUCCAGGAACCGUUGACUUUGACUUUUCUGGGACAUCCUUUUGAGUCACCAUUCCCGCUGGACUGGGUUUCGAUACAGUAAAAUCUCGAGUGAUAUGUCCUUCUUUUCCACAAUUAUAGCAUACCUUAAACUGUUGUGGGCAAUUUGGGCUGAUAUGUCCCUCUUUUCUGCAUUUAUAACAUACGACCGAUGGUCUUUCUCCUCCCUUGGAACCAGUUGCUACUGGCGCUGACGUCUUCACAUGGUCGUUGUUGAAUCUACAAGUCGGGCUUUGUAUCUCACAAUUUCAUUUUUUUCAUUUCGCUUUCGUACAAAUACCCAUUUGUUUCCAACCGGGAUUACACCCAACGGUGUUUGGACUACUGGUCCAAAUACUUCUCUUUUCAAUAGAGAUUGUAGCUCAGUUUGAAUAGCAUCUUUCCAUUUUGGCCAAUCUUUUUUUUCCGACAGUCUUCCACGUUUUGUGGUUCAGGAUCCGUGUCAGGAAUCAAAGUAAUAUCUGAUGCUAUAGAGAAAGCAAAUAUAUCAUCAAUCACGGCUUUGAUUCGAUCCCAUACUUUCUCAUCAUGUACAUAAUUUAUUGAGAUCUCUUGGUGUUCAUCUCUUAUCCUCUAAGAUUUUGAACCUCUUCUCGGGCUAUUCCCACUCUUGGAAUAUGUGCUACUUCUGGAGCGAUUUUUACCUCUUCUAGAGCUAUUCCCACUCUUGGAAUAAAUGCUACUUCUGGAGCGGGUAUUCCUUCUAGGAUUCCCUUAUUUGCUUUUGAUUUUCGUUGUACAGUGUCUUUUGCACCAACCGGUCUUCCACGCUUCUGGCGUGGUUUAGAUUCUUCUAUUACCUUAUUCGUCAAUUCUCCAGGAAUUGAUUUUUUAAUAGGUAUUUCUAUCCUUGCUAGAGUAUUCACUGCAGGUGUAUGUGACUUUAUCACUUUUCUAGCAUCAUUAAAUGCAUCUGGCAUUUGAUUUACAAUAUUUUGUAAAUGAAGGAUUCUUUGAACUUCAAUUUCACAUUGUCCUGUAUGAGGAUCAAGUGAAUUUAAAUCUGAUGCAUUCCAUGAUAUUUCAGAGGUUUUUUUAUUUAAAACAUUCCCUCCUCCUUAAUGGUGGAAAUACAGAUUCAUCAAAAUGACAAUCUACAUAACGUGCAGUAAAAAUAUCUCCAAUUAAAGGUUCAAGAUAUCUAAUAAUAGAAGAAAAAUCAAAACCAACAUAAAUACCUAUUCUUCGUUGGGCUCCCAUCUUAGUUCUUUGUGGAGGUUCAAUUGAAACAUAUACCGCACUUCCAAAAACUCGAAAGUGUGAUAUGUUAGGUAUCUGUCCAAGAACUAACUGUAGAGGAGAAAAUUUAUUAAGAGCCGUUGGUCUUACUCGAAUGAUGGCUGCAGCAUGACCCCAAACUGAGGUAGGUAAGUUAUCCCUUAACAUUAAUGGUCGUGCAAUUAGUUGAAGUCUUUUUAUUAAAGAUUCAGCUAAGCCAUUUUGUGUAUGAAUAUGAGGAACGGAAUGCUCAAUGGAAAUUCCAAUAGUCAUACAAAAAUCAUUAAAAGUCAUUGAUGAAAAUUCAGCUGCGUUAUCAAGUCGAAUUGACUUGAUUGGAUGAUCCGGGAACUGAGCCCGUAACUUGAUCAUUUGAGCAAGAAGUUUUGAGAAGGCAAAAUUUCGAGAAGAGAGAAGUCAAACAUAAGACCAUCUAGUUGAAGCAUCUAUUAAAACCAUGAAAUAUCGAAAUGGGCUAGACAAGGGUUGAAUAGGUCCACAAAUGUCUCCUUGAAUUCUCUCUAGGAAUUUUGGGGCUUCUUUAUAAACUUUUACUGGUGAUGGUCGAACAAUUAAUUUUUCUCGAGAACACGCAGCACAAGGAAAUUCACUAUUAGGAAAAACCCUUUUAUCUUUGAGAGGAUGACCAGUAGAAUUUUCAAUAAUACGACGCAUCAUAGAAAUACCCGGAUGACCGAGUCUUUCAUGCCAAAACAUAAAGGAUUUGGGAUCUAUGAUUUUUGGAAUCAUAACAGUAUGAGACUCAAUUGCUCUAAUUUUCAUAGUAUAUAAUCCAGAAGAAAUUGAAUGAAGUUUUUCUAAGAUAUUCUUUUUUCCAGAAAUAGUAGAAGUAAUGAGAAGAUAUUCAUUAUCAUUCUCAUUGGUUGUUUCAAUGUGAAAACCAUUUAGUCGAAUAUCUUUAAAACUAAGCAAAUUUCUUCUUGAUUUACUAGAAUAUAGAGCAUCUUUGAUAAAAACUUGUGUCUCAUUUGGUAGCAAGAAACUAGCUUUUCCAAAUCCCUCGAUUAAAUUUGAUGUGCCAGAGAUAGUUCCUACAUUUCCCUUAGCUUUAAUCAGUUGUGAAAAAUAUUUCUCACUUUGAAGGAUUGUAUGAGUUGUUGCACUGUCUGCUAAACAUAUAUCCUCCAUAUCCAUUAAAAAAAUGGUCUGACACAUAUAAAAACAUAAAUAAGAAAAGUUACAUUUCAAAUAUAAUUUUAUUCAUGAGAAACACAUACCACAUAUAGAAUGAAAACUAAUAAUAUUAUACAUGCAAGGUGUUUAAUUAAAACAAGAAAUUAAACGAUAUCCCAAAAGAUACUUUCAGAAGGUUCAGUAAUAUCAUCAACCUUUUCUUCAUUGUUGGUCAUUGGUGAAUCAUCAACAAUAUUCAAUUACUGAUUAACAAAGUUUGUUUCUGCCUCCAUUACUUUGUUCUUUUGAGACUCCUGAAAUAAAUUAGUCAGAUGCCUCGGCAUACGACAGGUACGCGACCAAUGCCCUUUCAUCCCACACCUAAAACAAACAUCUGGUUUGUUCUUUAUCGGUGCUGCAGUUUCUUUAUUUUUACCCGACUCAGACACUUGCCACUUUUGGUGGCCUGAAUUGUCGCAGUUCUGGAAUGUGUUGUUACGAUGGCCUCGUUUAUUCUUUCUUCCCCAAGGCUUCUUAUUAUAUAACCAUCUCUUGUCACGUUUAUUCUGCUGGAAUGACGCGCUGUUAAUAUCCGGCAAUGGGGUAGCACCCGUUGGCCGUACUUGAUGGUUUUUCAACAACAAUUCAUUAUUCUUUUCUGCAACAAGGAGGAUAGACAACAAUUCACUGAAUUUUGUGAACUUACUCUGUCUAUAUUGUUGUGACUGAAUCAUGUUGGUGGGAUGAAAAGUUGAGAGCGUUUUCUCUAACAUUUGGGAUUCAGAAAUUGGAUCUCCGCACAAAGCCAAAGUAGAGGUUAUUCUAUAAAUAUUGGAACUAUAUUCCGUAAUUGAUUUGUAAUCUUGUAGCCUUAAAUUAAGCCACUCAAAUUUGGCAUUAGGGAGAAUAACCAAUUUUUGGUGGUCAAAUCUUUCCUUCAGUUGUGUCCAUAAAGACAAAGGAUCUUUGACUGUCAAAUACUCAGUCUUUAAUCUUUCAUCAAUAUAGUGAUGAAGAAAAAUUAUGGCUUUUGCAUUUUGUGCCGAAGUAGUUGUAUUUCCUGAUUCAAUGGUUUUUUCUAAAUCAUUUGCACUAAGGUGCAAUUCUGCAUCAAGGGCCCAAGCCAAAUAGUUGUCUCCAGAUAUUUUUCAAAAUAAAAAAAUCUAUUUUUGCCAAGUUUGCCAUCUAUUCUGGGUUAAAACACAAUUUUAUUAUUUAUUAAAACAAUAAAUAAUUGCAUUUAUGAAAUAUGAAAAAUAAACUACGUCACGAUCUCAAGUGGUAAUAAAAUGCAAAUAUAAAUAUUCUUAUAUUUAUGUUAUUAACAUAAUGCAAAUGGAUCUUUACCCGGCAUGCGGUAGUUCGCAUAGACAGAUUAUUUCAACAGAAUAAUAAAUAAUGGAAUAACAGAAGAAUUUCACCAUGCAUGCCAUAAACUGAUCGCACAGACAGGUUAUUCCAACAGAAUAAUAAAUGCGUAAUAAUAAUGGAACCAGGUCAGGUGAAAUUCACACCGACAGGAUAUUCCGAUAGAAUAUUAAAUGCGUAAUAAUAAUGGAACCAGGUCAGGUGAAAUUCACACCGACAGGAUAUUCCGACAGAAUAUUAAAUGCAUAAUAAUAAUGGAACCAGGUCAGGUGAAAUUCACACCGACAGGAUAUUCCGACAGAAUAUUAAUUGCGUAAUAAUAAAUGGUAAAAAGGUUCCCACUUAGUCUUGUAAGAUUAACAAGGAUAGAUGGUACCAUUGUAAAUAAUAGAAUUUAAAUGCAAUUAUAAGAAUAAAAUUAUAUUAUUGGUGGUAUAGCCCAACCAGUAGUAUAAUAAUAAAUUGCAAGAAUUUAAUUUUACCGUCUCAGUUGGUUAGAGCUUCGUGCUGAUAACAUGUUAUAAAACUUUAGCAAAGUAUAGAAAUAAACUCUUAUAAUUGCUGCAUAAAUUUAGAGAGAAUAAGCAAGAGAAAAGAAGAGAGAAACUUUGAGAGAAUUUCUUCAGAGAGAUUAUCUUAUUUUUCUUUGUUAACUAUCACAGCCUUUAUAUAGACAAUAAAAAGAGGAGUAAGGAAGAAAGAAUCAUCAUGAGAGAGGAGAGAGGAGGGAGGUAAGCUGUCAUUCAUGUACCUUCACGCGGAGGGAAUCAUGAUUAUAACAAAUUGUAAGUAUUUUGUUAAUAAUAGUUUGUAUUUUUAUUAUAUUUUAUAAUAGUUUUUUUUUUAAUUCAUUGAUUAUUUUAAUCUUUUUAUAUUAUAAUUCAUGGAAUAGUUCAUUUGUUGAAAAUAUUAAAAACUAAAGGAUAUUUACUGUUAUAUGGACUAAAUAUAGUUCACGAAAUAGUCCUUCCAGUACAGAUAAGCAUCCAAAAGAAUUUUGGGGUGCACUCACAAAUCUCAACUCCUCCUAUAUAUAUAUAUAUAUAUAUAGCUUUCCAUGUAUUAGCUCAAGGAAUUAAGCAAGAGGAGAUGGAAACAGCUUUUGAUACUUCUAGUUCUCUUUUUAUUUUCAUGCUCGCCUUUACCAUACUAGCAUGCUUUAAAACAAGUCUCGUUGAAGCACAGGCUGGGCAGCUUCAGCAGGAGGGAUGUAAGUGUCCUAACAAAAACUUCAUUCAAAAGUCUAGGAAUACAUGAUUUCUGAAUACAUCCUACGUACAUUACUAAGCCCAAGAGAUCGAGAUGGAGAUGGUUGUCUAGAAUAUGUUUGAUAUAUGGAAAUGAGUCCCUUAUAUAUAAUACCCUUUUGCCUCUGUUUGGUUCGUGGGGGAGGUAACCGAUCUCCUUAUCAUGUUUACUUGAGGAUAUAGUAAUAAUGUUCUCCUUAGUUGAAGCAUGCUUAAUGUGGAUAAAUUAUUAUGUGCCCAACUUCUACCAACUGGCUUCUGAAAUUACUAUGAAUUUGAUUUAUGCAGUGGAAGCACUUAAAGAAAUAGGUAUUCAAUUGGGCAAAAAGGACUGGGAUUUCAGUUUGAAUCCUUGUGAUGGGAACUCAAACAGGAACACACCAAAAAUGAGCGAAUAUUAUAAUAAUUCUGUCAUUUGCAAGCCCUACCCUGGUGGAGUAUGGCAUGUUGAAGAAAUGUAUGCUUCUUGUCAUUAAUAUAUCAUUUUGUUGCUUAAAUUUUUAUGUGCAUGAUGACUGAUAGCAUCAAAUAUUUGUGAAUUAAGUAAUUGCACUGGAGUUGAGGCCUAAUUAGCUACAAAAUAAGUAAUCUUAACAUAAUAUGUAUUUUUAAACAUCAAAUUAGAAGCAUUAUCUGUCCUUGUUACUAAAAUUUUGCAUUUCCCUCCUAUAUCUACUGACUGUGCAUGAUGAAUAAAGUGUUUAGUACAGUAAUAUGGCAAUAUGAUGAUAUUUUGGCCUUGUCUUUUUAGAGUAUUUGCACCGCCGAUUGCUCUUGGGAUUGUUUUAUUUCUCUUUAGUAUUUGAUAACUCGUCAAUUCAUUCAGAUAGUGAAACUGUAUCAAUUAUGAGCCUCUUUUAUUCCUAUUGAAACAGAGUUCUUAAAGGGCAGGAUCUUGAUGGUAUACUUCCACCAUCCUUGGCAAAGUUACCCUACAUCAAGAACAUGUAAGAAAUUAAUACUUUCAUGUCCGUACGCUUGUUUCUUGACAUGUUAAUUGGAUUUUUAUGCUUCCAUUAGAAAGACAAUACUACCUAUUGUUGCAGUGAUCUUGCUCGAAACUAUAUCCAGGGCACUAUACCCCCAGAAUGGGCAUCAACAAAGCUGGAAUAUUUGUAAGUAAUGCGUGCCAACUUCUUUAUUAAUCAUCAAUGUUAUAGAAUUAAUAAACAGUGUGAAGAUAUAUAUAUAUAUGUAUAUAUAUACACUCCAGGUCUGUCAUCGUCAAUCGUUUAUCAGGAACAAUUCCAAAAUACUUGGGAGAUAUUACCACUCUUACAUAUAUGUAUGCUCUCUCUCUCUCUCUCUCUCUCUCUCUCUCUCUCUCUCACACACACACACACACAUAAAAACACAUACACACGCCCACACACUCAGGGACACACACAUACAUGCCUUUUAUCAAUAAUUUGAAAAAGAUAAUCUUUUCAGGAGCCAAGAAUACAACUUGCUUAAGGAAGUGUUAAGGCUUAACUUGGAUUCUUUUUUAAUUUUCUUCUUGAUAUUGUAAAGUUUAUUAAUGUCAUGUCUCAUCUGUGGCAUCAUUUUAUUUAAUCCAGUGCAUUCUAAGAGUAUAUUAAGAAUUUAGCUUAUGUUUCAGUUCUGCUACCUCUUUUUUAGUGAUCUAAACUGAGAUUUUCUUACCAGAGCCCUUGAAUCAAACCAGUUUUCUGGCAGUGUUCCUUCUGAGCUCGGGAAAUUACCUAAUUUGGAAUUUUUGUAAGACCUUGUCAUAUCCUUGAACCAAAUUUGUGCAAUUUUAUGGACCAACUAAACUGUUUGUGGAAUUCUAGGAUUUUGUCGUCCAAUCAAUUGACAGGGAGGUUGCCAAUGACUUUUGCUGGGCUAACAAAAUUAAAAGAUUUGUAAGCUUGUCAGUAGAAUAAUUAUGAAUUAAUCAUUAUUGUUUAUCAUACUAUUAAUUAAUUAAGCACCAUACAUUUUCUUGCAACAUGCAGUAGGAUCAGUGACAACAACUUCUCUGGACCAAUACCUGAAUUUAUACAGAACUGGAAUCAACUUGGAAGACUGUAAGAUCAUUAGCCAUCCUAAUUAAAGUACCUUUUAAAAUUUUGGUAUAAUACACUUCCUUCCUUCUAUAAUUAUUAAAUUAAUUUUGUCAAUGAAGAGAAAUAGGUGCAAGUGGGCUGGAGGGACCAAUUCCGUCAAAUAUAUCUCUUCUCGACAAGUUAACCGACUUGUGAGUGUAGAACCAAUUAAAUGUAUCAAGUGUUUUGGCUGAUUUUGUUAUUUUUGUUUCAUUAUCUAUCUAAUUAGAGAGUUUUAUGUUUUAAGUGAUUAACACAACACAUGCUCUUUUAUUUUCACAGGAGGAUUACUGACAUAAAUGGGCCUAUUCAGGGAUUUCCUAACUUAAGCAGCAGUACGGGACUAAAAAAAUUGUAUGGUGAAUGAUUGUGUAAUAUGUCUAUUGGCAUAAAGGCUUAUGAGUCUGAUCCUGCAUUAAUUAUUUUGACAUACUUCAUCCUAAAUUCAGGGUACUGAGAAACUGCAACAUUUCUGGACAAAUCCCUCCAUAUAUCUGGCAACUGGAAGUUAUAGACACGUUGUAAGUAAUAUUGCAUGACAAAUCUCAGAGUCAAUGUUAUGGACUGUUUUACUUGGGUAUAUCUUACGCAAUUCCGUUUGUUUGAUCAUGUCAUCUAAUUAAUUCAUCGUGAUUUGGACAGGGAUUUAAGCUUUAACAGGUUAGAAGGACAAAUUCCAUAUAGCAUCAGCUCUAGAAAAAUUAAAUUCGAGUAAGUAUGAUGAUGCCAAGAUUUUAACAUUAAUUUUUAACUUCCAAGAGUUGUUUGCGAAUAUAUAGUUGUUAUUACAUUUUGUACGUACGUACUGUUUUAAAAACCAGUCCAAGUCUCUAUUCAAGUGUGUGUGUGUGUGUGUAUAUAUAUAUAUAUAUGAGCAAGAUACUAACCACGGAUGCUUUGCAUUAAAUAGGUUUUUAACGGGCAACAUGCUAAGUGGAAAUGUCCCUGAAAGAAUCAUGAAGGAUGGAAGUAGCAUGUACGUCAUUAAUUAUAUAUCUAGGAUGCUUUUUUUGUGGUGGGGGUUGAGGCUCAUUACUGCAUGAUAUUAUCCUUGAAGCUCAUGAGUUUUUCCUUGCAUUUCAAUCACAUUUAUAUUUUACAAGAUGCUGACAUUCAAUUAACUAACUAUGAUGAUUGUGUGCAGUGAUCUUUCCUACAAUAAUUUUACAUGGCAAGGCCCAGAGCAGCCCAUUUGUCGGCAGAACAUGUUAGAAUAUAUAGUAAUUUUGUUUGUUUGUCAUUUCCUUCCUGUAUGCUGCUAUUCACUACUAAAUUGAAAAUUUCUUUUUUUUCCAUUAGGAAUUUAAACAUCAACUUGGUCAAGAGCUCUUCAUCAGAGAACACCUUGUGAGUUUCUUUUUCUAAUUGCUUCUCUGAAAUUUUUAUGUUCAAAUUUUGUUGCUGAAAUGUGAGGGAGAAUUUUUCUUCAUUAACAGAAAGGGAAUUCUUCCUUGUGAGAAAGAUUUCAUCUGUCCUAAAUGUAAGUUUGUUGGUGAAUUUAGAAAGUCUUUACAUGAUCAAUCAAUCUAUUAAUUUGUAUCAUGUGGCGGCAGAUGGGUGUUCUUUACAUGUUAAUAGCGGGGGAGACGAUUUAAAGACGAAAGAAAUUAGUAAUGGAAAUGUUGUAGUGUAUGAAGGAGAUGGAAAAAUUGAAGGUGGUGCAGCAACAUAUUACAGAAGUAAGAAUUACUGGGGAUUUAGUAGCACUGGAGACUUCAUGGACGAUAGAAAUCAUGAAAACAAAUAUUUUACAGAAACUUUAUCUAAUUCAUCAUCAAACAUCCCUCAAAUGUAUACAACAGCACGCCUCUCUCCACUCUCUCUUACUUAUUUCUGUUACUGCUUGGAAAACGGGAGUUAUGCUGUAAAUCUGCAUUUCGCCGAAAUACAAUAUACAAAUGGCAAUACAUUUAGCAGUCUUGGGAGGCGGGUAUUUGAUAUUUAUAUUCAGGUAAUUAAUUAUUUAGUUAUGUUGUGAGUAGUAGUUUUUCAAAUUACAUGAAACUGAUCCUCCUCUAUUCUAUGCAUGCAUGUUUCAGGAAGAAUUAGUUCGAAAGGAUUUUAAUAUUCUAGACGAGGCUCGUGGUGCCCAACGCCCAGUGGUCAUACCAUUUAAUGCAAGUGUGACAAAUAAUAUCUUAGAGAUACGAUUUUAUUGGGCUGGUAAAGGGACUACACACAUUCUGAAAAGAAAAGUUUAUGGUCCAAUUAUAUCAGCUAUUUCGGUUACUUCCAGUAAGUAUUUUCUUUUUCUCCAUAUAGAAAUCAAAGGAAAUUGCUUUUAAUGUGUUUUCAGGUAUAUAUAUGACAUCAGUGUUGAGUUUUUUGAGUGUGAAGUUGAAGUACAAUUUUAGGUUUAGGUUGGGUUUAAGACAUAUCAGCCUAAGCUUUUGUGUCAAGCUUUCAACAGGUGUAUUGAGUUGGUUUUAAGUUCACAACCCAAGUGAGUAGUUUUGAUGAUGUUGGGAUCCGCAUGUGAAGGGGGAGAUUUGAUAAAGUAACAUGUGAGUUGACAUAGUUCCAUAUCGGUGUUGAGUGUGAAGUUGAAGGCAUAAUAUAUAAAUUUGUGCCCAGGACCUAUUAGCUUAAGCAUGAGCAGGUGUAUUGAGUCUUAUGAAUUUAUUUACCACUGAGCUACUUACAAAAUAAUGGUCAUAUAUAUAUAUAUAUAUAUAUAUAUAUAUUUGUGCUAUGUAUUUUGCUGUUUACUAGCAUAACUGUUGUAAUUUAUAUAAAUCUAUAUUUGGCCAUAUUUGCAAUAUGUCUGUUGCUGUCGUCUUCUAGCAUAAUUUUUAUGGUUGGACAGAAUUUAAAACUUGUAGAACUGGUGGAAAGAAGAAGAACAACAUUGUUUAUGUUGUUGUUGGAGUGGUGGCAUUAUGCGUUAUUACUUCAAUAUUUACCAUCCUUUGGUGGAAAGGCUAUUUCAAAGAAGGAAAAGGUGAGAGAUGUAUCAAUUGCUAAAUCUAGCCAAAGCAAAUAAACUCAUGGAUGCAAAAUUACUACUCGGUUUAUUAGAUGCAUUUCAACACCUUAAAAUAUGUUCUUCUGCAGUGCUGAGAGGAUUAGAUUUGCAGACUGGCGUAUUUACCUUUCAACAAAUUAGAGCUGCCACAAACAACUUUGAUGCUGCAAACAAGAUUGGGGAGGGUGGUUUUGGAUCUGUUUACAAGGCAUGUGGCAAUUUUGUUCACUUUUUCCUACUCUUUUUUUUUGGGGGUUGGGGGUNNNNNNNNNNNNNNNNNNNNNNNNNNNNNNNNNNNNNNNNNNNNNNNNNNNNNNNNNNNNNNNNNNNNNNNNNNNNNNNNNNNNNNNNNNNNNNNNNNNNNNNNNNNNNNNNNNNNNNNNNNNNNNNNNNNNNNNNNNNNNNNNNNNNNNNNNNNNNNNNNNNNNNNNNNNNNNNNNNNNNNNNNNNNNNNNNNNNNNNNNNNNNNNNNNNNNNNNNNNNNNNNNNNNNNNNNNNNNNNNNNNNNNNNNNNNNNNNNNNNNNNNNNNNNNNNNNNNNNNNNNNNNNNNNNNNNNNNNNNNNNNNNNNNNNNNNNNNNNCAUGAACAUCACUCAACAAAUUAUUUAAAACUGUAUUUGCAUUACAUUGCAGGGUAUAUUAUCAUCAAAACUGUAUUUUACAUUACAUUGCAGGGUAUAUUAUUGGAUGGUACUAUAAUUGCUGUUAAGAAACUUUCUUCCAAAUCAAAUCAAGGGACCCGGGAAUUUGUGAAUGAAAUAGGCAUGAUAUCUGGUUUACGACACCCGAAUCUAGUAAGAUUGCACGGAUGUUGUGCUGAACGUAAGCAAUUACUACUAGUGUAUGAGUUCAUGGAGAACAACCACCUCGCCCAGGCUCUUUUUGGUAAAUUCAGUGUUUACUUAGACAUAUAUAUUAUGUAAUUUGAAUGUGGUUACCAGAAACACUUAUCGACUGGUUAAGCGGGUACAAGGACACUACCUAUGGUUAGAACACACAAGACAUCUAGUUUUCAUACCAUGAUUCUUCACCAUAGUACCCGGUACUAACCCAUUUUGAACUUAUGGGAAUGGUGAUCAUCAACAUGACAUUAUUUACCAAAUUAUUUACCAAAAUCCAGUACCAACUACCUUCUUAUUCAUCUGUAUUCUCUUUCAUAUUGGUAAAUAAAUGUCACUUGCAGGUCCAGAGGAAUCCCGAUUGGAUUUGGACUGGCCUACCAGACACAGAAUUUGUAUUGGCAUAGCAAGAGGCCUUUUUUUCCUUCACGAGGAAUCAAGUCUGAAAAUUGUUCAUAGAGAUAUCAAAGCUACCAAUAUUCUUCUUGAUAGCAACCUCAACCCUAAGAUCUCGGACUUUGGUUUGGCCAAGCUUCAUGAAGAGGAGAAGACGCAUAUUAGCACUAGAGUUGCGGGAACUAUGUGAGCUCUUUUUCCCCUCUUCUAUACAAAUAAAUUCUUCUUUUUUUCUUCUUUCUUUUUUCUUUUCCUUUACAAAAGCUGAUAUACGAAAAACUUCAUGAAGGAUGAAAAUUUAUCUAGGACUGCUCAUAUUUUCUAUAUGCUCUUAGAAUGAAUCUAUAUACUUGCAUGAGAUAAUUGGUGCCUGAAGUUAUUCCAUACAUAAUAGUCAACUUGGAAAGUUCAUUGACAUGAACUGAAAGUCAAAUUUCAUCCAAGUACAGUAUGAUUUGCACGAAGCAUUUACGUUCAUAUUUAUGUUAGGAGUUGAGGUACACAAUUAAGAGCUCAUAUAUAUAUAUAUAGCUACGAAGUAAGAAAUCAGCUUUUCAUGCAUUUGCAAUAUUAUUUUUUGCAGAGGGUACAUGGCACCAGAAUAUGCAUUAUGGGGUUAUUUGACAGAGAAAGCUGAUGUGUACAGUUUUGGGGUUGUUGCACUUGAAAUUGUUGCUGGAAAGAACAACAUGAAAUAUCAACCAAGCAAAAACUAUGUUUGUCUUCUUGACAUGGUAAGACUACAUUACUUCUUUGCAUGCCUUUGAGUACUACCUAGUUAUAUAGUAAUGCAUGUCUUUGAAUUCUUAGCCUCCGAUCCUCCUCCUUUUAUAAUUGUUUCAGGCUAUUGUUAUGCAACAAAAUGGAAGUUUGCUGGAGUUGGUGGAUCCAAGGUUGGGUUCCGAAUUCAACAAGGAAGAGGCAAUUAGAACGCUCAAAGUAGCUCUAUUAUGCACUAAUCCGUCUCCGGCGCUUAGGCCAACCAUGUCUUCUGUAAUGGAAAUGCUUAAUGGUGGAAUCAGUAUUCAGGAGGUAAACAUUGAUUCAAGUAUAUAUGGUGAAGAUUUUUUCAAGUUUCAAGCCCUCAGAGACAAGUACAAUGAGAUGCAAAUCAGGAGUUCAAGUCAAUCUGAGACCCUCAUUCAUACUUCCGAUGGCAUAAACAUUGGCUCUACCUCCACAUCUUCCCCAUGACCUCUAUUCAGUCAAUCUCUAUUCUGGUAGGAUGUAAUAUUUAGAUAUGUUCUCGUGGUUGUGUUUGAUAAACUUGGGAAUUAAGAUCUUAAUGAUUAUGAUGUCUUAAUAAAUUAGAUCGUCUGAAUGGUUAUGAAGUCUGAAUUUAAAAAAUUGUUUGAUAACUAAAAAGUAAGUUGUCACUUAAUGACACUAUUUUAUCAUUUUAAAGGGUAAAAUUUUAUUUAAUAAUUUUAAAUAUUUAAUUUAAUAAAAAUGAGUGCAUAAUAUUGUUGAAUAUAUUUAUAUAAAAAAAAUUAUCAAAAAAAAUUCAUUAAAAGGUACCUCUUAAUUAUUAAGAUUUCAUUUUCUGUCUUACUGAUUAAGAGGCAUUCAGAGAUAACAACAAAAUAAAUAAAUAGCAUUAUGCCUCUUAGCGAAUAAGAGACAGUCCAUUAAGAGUUAAUCAAAUGUAAACAAGCAGCACCUUAGUCUAUGAACUUCCAUCACAAAACCAUGCCUCUAGUCUUUGAUUAAUAUAUAAUGUAGAAGAACAUAAUAUUUAUUUACUUUGUACGUAAUUAUUUUUAAUUGCAUGAUUAUUUUGAAUUUUAAUAUAUAUUUUGCGGAAUUAAAUUCAAAAAGUCGAGGUGUAUCUAUGAUUUGGGAAUAAAUGAGGUAGUUGAAACUAAAAUGUCACUCUCUAGCUAGACAAAUCCUUAUAUAUAUAUAUCCUUAUAUAUAUAUAUGUAGCAUGAACAUGCAGUAGGAUGGAUAUUUUAUCAACUGGAUUAAUUAACCCACUUCAUUAAUUAUGAUUAACAUUGAAAUUAAGGUAAAAAGACUUUAUUAACUAGAUUACAAUAACAUAUAAUUAAUCGUUUGGUAUAACUCUUAAUUAAAUUAGACUGCAAUAAUAAUUUAUCAAAGAAAAAGAAAAUAAUAAAGGCCGCAUCUAUAAUCUUUUUGAAAUAUAUAAACUAAAAUUACCGAUAUAUUUAAUUUCUCAACAAGGCUUUAGCUAGGUUUCUUGUUGGUCACCCUUUAUAUAAUUUCUAAUAUGAAAGUUUUACGUUUAUAAUUUUAAAACAAGUUGUCGUCGGAGUUUGAUUAUAUAUAUUUGUUUUGCAAAUAAUAACGUUGUUUUUUCUUGAAUAUCUUAGGGGAAAAAAAAAUUAAAAGGGAAAUACACAGGAGUAAUACUAGAGACACAAUUUAUUUUAUAACUAUUUUAUAAUUUAUUGAUGUGGCAUACUUCACCUCAGCAUAUUAAUAAAUUAAUUAAUUAUUUCAAUAUAGUCUUUGAUCCCAUAUAAAAAUUAAAAUAAAAUAUAUCACAUCAAUAAAUUAUAAAAUAAAUUAUAUCUAUAACAUUAUUCAAUACACAAAACAUAUCAUGCAUGUAGCUGCUUAAAUAUCUCAACUAAAAGAAGUCGUAACAAAUAAAUCCAAUCCAAAUCGGUAAAUUAAUCUUGUCCCCAUGCAUGUAUCUUUUCCACGUGGCAACAUAAUUUUAGCAAAUUCAGCCACGUCAUCACCCCCCACAUGUACACGUGUCUCCCACGCAACAACCCAAUGCACCUCUCCUCCACUAUAAGCUCCUAAUGACUUUCCUCACUACUCGAACAUUAACAACAGCAUCACACAAAUUAAAUUAACAGCUUUUUAACUAAUUAAUUAAAAAUGUCUUCUAGUGACAAAAAUCCGGGGCCGAUGCCGGCCGGCGAUGGAUCAGUGCCGCCGGGGAAGGGAAUGACGGUAAAACAGCAAAUGCUGGACAAAGGAGCUCAGAUUAGUCAGUCCCUGAAGCCCAUAAAGCAGAUAAAGCAGCAUGUUUGUAGCUUCGCUUCAUAUAGCCAUGACAUGACUCGCCAAAUUGAGACUCACCAUUACGUGACUCGGCUCAACCAGGACUUUCUCCAGUCUGCCGUUUACGACUCGGAUGACUCAAAUGCCCGUCUCAUCGGUACCUACCUACCUAAACACACGUGAUAAUUAAUCUUUUUGUCUUUGAAAAAUGAUCGAGUUUAAAGUUAAUACACUAAUGCGAGCUGUGUUUGAAUUAUUACACGUCACGUGAUUAAAAUAAAUAUAAUUUUGUUAAACAAUUUAGUCUGACAUAAUAUAUAUAUAUAUAUAUAUAUAUAUAUAUAUAUAUAUAUUAUUUCUAUUAUUUCCCUUCUUCAGGAGUCUCAUUUUUAAAAUUAAAAUUUUUAAAUAUGUAUUCUUUUAAGUUUUCAUUUCUUAAGCUAAAAAGUUUGUUAGCUUAUAUAGCAGUGUUGAUAUGGUAAUAAAAUUAAAUUUUGAUGGUAAUUGAGAAUUUACAUCAUACUAGAACGUUAAUUUUGAGUCAACAUUGGAUUAGUUACCGGCCGGUACGGUGAUUGUUUUUGGAUUGUUACGUGCAUCCAGGAGUUGAAUAUAUAGUAUCUGAUCGAAUUUUUGAAGCUCUUCCACCUGAGGAACAGAAGCUUUGGCACUCUCAUGUUCAUGAGGUUACAAUAUAAAUAAAUUUAUAUUAUUUGCUUUCUUGUUAGUUUUUUCAUAAUCUCCUAAUUAAAUAUUAUUCUAAUUGGAAUGGGUUAACCAUAUAUAUAAGAUUGUAAAAUAGUAGUUGUUGGAUCAAUGGUCCAGAUUACAUCAGGACUAUGGGUGAAUCCAGGGGUUCCAGAGAUGAUUCAGAGGAGUGACCUCCAAGAUCUUGUCCCUACCUAUGGCAAGUUUUGGUGUUCCUGGCAAGUUGACAGAGGUAUAUAAAGUCCACGUACACCAAGUUAAUUGGAAUCUUCACUUAUAACUAAUUUUUUAGUUUAGUUUUUAGGUUGUAUUGCUAUGAAAUUAAUAUUCUCCCUCUAGUCCAAAAAAACAUUAUAAGAUCAGUAUUAAAUUUUUAAAAUUUAAUUUGCAUACUAUUUUUUUAAUUUAUAAAACAAUAAUCUUAUACUACCUCUAUUUUCAAAAUAUAAGAAGAUCAUUCUUUGAAUGAACAAAAUUUGGAUAGUUUACAAUAUAUCCAAACAAUAUUUUUAUAGGGAAAUUGAUAUUUUCCCAACUAAAUGACCUAAUAAUUUUACAAGCACAUGAAUAGUAGCUCCUCCUCCUAAGUUGAAUACUAGUAAACGAGUACUAGUAUAAAUUAAUAUCAAUAUUCCCUAUUUACAAAAAUAAAUGCAGUUCAUCAUUGUGGCUAAAAAUGAAUGAACUUGUAUUUAUUUUGAACUUGGAAACAAGAAUUUGCAGCAAAUUAAAUACUUUUAGAAUUG